rnacentral:lncRNA from 1 species
ACCACGGCACCUGAGCUUGCCAUCUUUUCCUGCUCUAUCUCACUCAUUUGUCCCGUAGCUACUAGCUAAGCCACCAUAUCAUCCAUGGCUUCUGGUGCCUCCACCACGCUGAAGAUGGCCUCUAUCGCCGCUUGCAUCCUGCUGGUCCUGCUGUCCAAUGGCCACCCUACCGCGGCGGCCGUUGAUUGUAUUGCGGCUUGCAAAGAACCGUGCCAGGGUUUUUCUAACGGGCUCUGCGCGGGUGGAGCCACCAGCGGUUGUACGACUACGGCAGCAGCUACAGCAUGCCGCAAUUUGGCGUUCUCGCAGUGUGCGAACACCUGCUUCACAGUUUGCACUGCUGUGAGCAUCGCGCCUUGCACUUGAAGAUGCAUUCGUGUUCCUACUUCCACAUUAUUGUUACUGCAGAAUAAUAUGGGUCAGUGCACACAAGCAUACAUGAUGAGCCACUGUCGUUUUUCCAUUUUGUCAUUUAUUUAUUGAAGGCAAUGUACGUUUUUCCAUUUGAUCAUUUACUUAUUGAAGGCAAUGUACGUGUCUAUCUCCUGUGUGGUUGAGCAUGUCAUCUUGGAAUUCUGUCCAAAGUUUUACAUACCACCUUGUAUUGUUGUGUGUGGGUAUCAAUAUAAUUUAUGAACUAUCUUCCUUUACCAUAGACAUAUCUAUGUUUAUUUGCAAGCGUUAGCUAAAUUUUUCCUUGAUUGUGUAUUAACCCAUACUGAACAGAUCAACUUUCCACUGCAAGAAACUAUUUAAUCUGUGACGAAACAAAAUUGUCACGUAUCACUAAAAAAUCGUCAUAAAGCAAUGCCUGUGAUGAUUUCAGAUAACGUCAUGUAUUGAGCAUCACAGAUUAAAUCGAUGACAUGGAGAGGCUUCACCAUAGUAUUUUGUAUCGACGUUAGACCUAUCGUUUAUUUCCGCUGCUUUUGAACUCUGAACACUACUUUUAUGCAUGUGAACUAUCGGCUUGUAAUAACUUAAUGUGGGACCUGUAAUAAUUUAUCUGGAUUGUUGUAAUCUUUGGACUCGUCUUCGUGCGAGUAUACUUUGUUUCGAUCCGAAACACGUGGUUGCAUCGGGUGAAACCCGACAGACUACCAGUUUAAUUCGAUUAAAGUGUCUAUUCACAUUUAAGGCAAUGUUGAAUAUACUUUAGCCGGGUUAACUUGGAUGGUUCUACCACACUGGCGCAUCCCUGAGGAUUCCUAUCUGCUUGCUCGAUGUCAUCUGUAUCUGGCCCUGUGAUAAGGGUGAAGAGUUCAUUGUCUAGAGACAGGCUUCCAGAACUUUGGGUGAUGACUUAUGUAGAGUCAUGAAGCGUGAUUCGUUGUCCUGGGCGAGGGCAGGUAGCCUCAUGCCAGGCCAGUAGAUGAAUCUGCCUUGAGGGGUUGAGGUGAUCACCAGGCCCUGCUGCGAACCUGUUAGUGGAGUCUCCUCGUCGGAAUCCAAGUAGUGAUCGUAGUUGUGGUCCUUAAUCGGACAUGAGUUAGAUUGCAACCCGGAUAAGGCUGCUUGAUAGGUGGAAGCUGCGUUACGGAGUCCGAAUGGGAGUUUGCUCGGAAUUUGACUUGAUUCGGACGAUGCAGAACCCGAUGGGAUAACCUACUGGGGUAUUACGUCAAUAGAUCAACCAAAAGAAUGCGCAAUAAUAUCUACCACCAAAGGCAACCCAAAAGCAUUAUCUACCUUCAGUGCCAGAUCAGUCAUCAACAAAGAUCUAUGGAGACCUUGUUUUCUCUUGCUUUGGAUUUGGAGAUAGCAUAGAACAAAAGCCUUGAACCUAAAUAAACAAAGAAAAAAAGUACUGCAGUGCUAAAAAUAAGAAAUACCUCGUAGAAAAAUACCAGUAAUGGGUUUAUGGGUUCCCACUCAUCCUUGGGUAGCCACUUCUCUAGAGAGAUUCUUGUGUGUUCCGGUGUUGUAGUUUUCUGCGCAUGAUACAUAGCAACAUAAGGGCUAUUCCCCAACCUCAUAAUCGAUAGUAAUGUACAUCUUCUGGAAAGGACCUCUUUCUGUUGCAAGUGUGACUGCCACGCUCAUGCCAUUAAAGAAGUUAGCAGUUCGGUUAGGCAAUUAGUUGCCCACAGGAGGAAAGUAAAGCAACCGUGGAGAGUGAAGAGGCGUCUUUCUAGCUCCAGCACCAAGCACACCACACCAGUCAUCAGCUAAUCUGAUGACAUGGCAGGAAAUUUAAGAGGGGAGAGAAGGAAUUAGUUUCAUCUAGAUGAAAUUCUUCUCGCACAAAACCAACUCUGAAUGUGUCAUGAAAUUAAAUGUACCCCAUGCCGCUUUUUAUGCGCUCUUAUUAAUGUUGCUUUGUCUAAGUUCAAUACACUUAUCAAGACUAUCGCAUUUGGUGACUGGCAGUCCACCUAAGGGUACCAAGAUGGUUGAUUUGUAAACAGAGAGGAUCACAAGACCAUGAACUACUUGAUGGUAAUGCAAGGCACAAGACAUAGAGAUUUAUACAUGUUCGAGCCGUUAGUGUAGCGUAAUACCCUACGUCCUGUUUUGGGGGAUUGUAUUGCGCUCUGCACUUGGGUGUUGGUUGUUAAGUUGAGGGAUUGGCCGUCCUCCUAGGGGUACCCCUACGUACCCUUAUAUACUCCCCUAAUAACUCUUCUUAAUAGGAUAGAUUACCAAGUAGAAUUAAUUAUGCAUGCACGCUUGCAGUAAUUGUCGCACCUAUUAGCCUUCCUUAUUUAGCGAGACUUCCUCGGGCAUCGAUGGUGUGCCGUUUCUAUAGUGAACGGUAAUGAAUGUGGACACUUUUAUGAGUGCUGACAUGAAAGGUUCAAUUUGUAUGAAUGAUCUUCUAUAGGUACACUAACCGCGCUUAGGUUACGUUAACAAAAGGUUAGAGAAUUGACUAGUUAUUAUAGGAAGAGCCGUAAACUGUUGCCUCGCCACCAGCACUAACCCCGUAAGUCCAAGUAAUUGGCAGUUUUUUCAUUUGUGAGGACGCAUAGGUCAUGCAUGCAUCAUGUUAAAAACUUGCAAAUUGGAAAUUGGAACAACUUUCCUAUAGAUGAUUGGGAGGACUAAUGUCACUCUCAAAAAAAAUUUUGCCAAAUCACCUAAGGAUUUUCUAGUUGUCUCGAACUGCAGCUAACUACUGUCAGAAUUUUUUUUCUCCGAGCUCUUAAAUGGUCUUGGUUCCAGAAUUUAGUAAAUGAUAUGCUGUAAAAAUUUCAUAAAUUUUGGUCAAGUGAAACUCGAGUUAUGCUUCAAUAAAUUCCCGGGUUGACUCGUACCCAAAGGAGGAAGUUGCAGAGGUUAAGGCUGCAGGAGAAGAGGGAACAGAAGCUGGAGAAGCGAAGGAAUGAGGCAUUCAACACGAAUAGACCCAUAGUCCCUCAGAAGAAGGAGUGGAGAGUUAAGGCCGAUACUCCCAACUCCACCAGUCAGACCUGCAGAAGGACCGGUCGGACCUAGUGCGGUCGGCACGGUCAGGGCGGUCACUGGCGCAGUCGUCGUGGUUGAUGACUCGGUCGGCGCGGUCGUCGGCGCAGUCAGACCGGUCGAGGGGUCGGCGAGGAGCGGCAGCGGGGUGACAAAGUAACUGCGAGCGCGGCGGGGCGGAGCUUGAGCGGCGGAGGCGGAUGGGAGGGGUGGAGGUGGCGGUGGAUGUGGAGGGGAGGUAGCGGAGGGGGAGGAGGAGGAGGAGGCAGAGGAGGCCGGCGGUGGGCGGAGGAGGUGGAGGAGGGUGAGGAGGAGGAGGAGGCGGAGGGAGGUCAGGGCUGGCGGGGGAAUUUUCUUUUUUUAAGAACGUUUAGCCUUAUUAUCACCUAGCGGAGGCGGAUGGAGUUCCACAACAUGGUGUAUCGGACGGGCAUUUCAUUGAAGUCCCUAGGGGCGUCCAAUGGGUGGCUGUAGUGGGUGUACAUCACGACGAGCGUCUGUAGCCAUUGCGACAGCCUAGAGCACGACAACGAGGCGGAAGACCCCGUCACGGGUGCAGAUGGCCAGCGUUUUUUUAAAAAAAAACUUACAGGUGGCCAGUGUGGUGGGCGUGAUUGGGCUUAUCACCAGUGGCGGAGGAGGCGGACGCACGAAGCGACAGGAAUGGCGCCGAGUUUGGUCGAACCAUCUGGAAACUAGAGUUGUAACGCUUGCACUGGACGGCUGAGAUUUACGAUGCUCGAUAUCUGACAGGCGAAAAAGGGAGAGACUUGGCCCAAUCAUUGCAGAGAAACUUCACCGGAGUUAGGUCUUUAAAGAAGAUUGUAAGGCCUGAUUGGUUUGGGGAUCAAAAUGUAUCAAACCAAAAUCAGGGUAAGCCUAAUAAUUUUGGCAGCUGUGUAUAUUUAGAUGCAUAUAAACAUUUAUAAACCUAAAAAAUUAAAACGACCUGCAAUUAAAAAUGGAGGGGUAAAAAAGAAGGCCCCGACAAACGCGUCAGCACAUUCCUGCCUUUCUCCCCCGAAUGAGUAAACUCCAAUCCAAAAUUUGACUGUAUUUUGUUAACGGUUAUAUAUCAUAAGUUUCAUAACAAUAACCAGCUAGGGCUAAUGAUGAUAUGAAUUUGGCCACAAUUUUUGUUCUUGGGAGGUAUCUGUGAGGUGAGAAAAUGGGCAACAUGUGUGGAAAAUGCUAAUACGCCUACUGUGUGGCAUAUUUUGCGUUGUAUCAUAUACUUUCCGGAACAGUUGUAAUUACCACAUCUUUUUUCCCCAGCGGAGUCGCCAAAAUGUGUUGGCGCCUUUUCCGACCAACACAUGAGUGCGCUAGCUCGCGUGUAGAUUGGAAUUCUCCUCGUUGAAGCUCCUGCACCUGGCCGGUCAGAUCGGUCAGGGGGUCCGAUCGGGCCGGUCCUCGUAGGGGCACCAUGAAAACCUACGUCCACCACCUCGGGAGGGACCCUUUCGGAGAUGGCGAACCUAGGGUUGCUCUGAGAUCGGCAGGCCAAUUUAAACGUUCUCAAACGCCGCCGGGACAAAAGAUGAAAGCAAGUGGGUUGGAAAAGCUAAGGUUUUGAGAUAAAAGGGUAAAAAGAUAUGUUUGACGAUUAGGUGAUGCCCCUCAAUCCAACUUACCAAUAUUGAUACAAGAUAUGCUCAACUUGUGAACUUAACUGAGGUAUAUGCUUCCUAUGUUCGUCCGUUCCAGUAAUUGUCUAAGGCAACGCGAAAUCCAGUUACUGUGGGCUAAUAACAACCUAUCUGUUGGUGUUUCUUGGUGUCUAUGGGUGUGCUUCUGAUUUGCAUGCUUUUUUUGUUUGUUGUGUGAUGAAAUAAGGCACUAUGUACAUCUUUGCUUAUUAUUUCCCACUGAUAUAUGGGUACGGACGUGUAAUCAUUAAUUGUGCUAUUCAUUCAGCUGACGACAGUCAGUUGACAUCACUUGAAAGUAUGCUUGAAUUCGUAAGGUGUCCCGUGCAAGUAGCGUGGCUACAACCGCAGCAAUAUUUUUUUCUGAUCAAAAUCGAUCGUCCUUUUUUGUUGAAAACAUAAGUAUGAUAUACUUCACGUGAUGUUAGACUUGAAAAUUUUUGAGUGCAAUAUAUGAGUAAGUAUUCAAUACUAACAUUUUUUCUCUAAACAUUAACUACCAACAUAGCUUAUCAGAUAAUGCAGCAUUGUUUAUCCGACAUGCAUAACCUCCUAACACUCAGACACUGAGACACACCAUCCAUUACCGUCACUGAAUCUAUGUCAGCGUGCUGAGCCAGGGUUAGGAACCUCCACUAACUCGUUAGAGGCAAACCCAAGAUCUAGACUGCUUCUGCUUAAUUCCAUCACUAGCUUAAUCCACUAUGAAAUGUAAAUGCACAACACUCUUAGCAAUUCGCUCAUAAGAUUCUUGAAUUUGGCAAAUUUUUGGUGCAAUCUUCACUGCGAGAAAAACGACCUUUUGUCCAACAUAUUAGUACCGGCCACAUUUCAACCCGUACUAAUACCAACAUUAGUAUCGGAUCCAAUUUAGUAGCCACCGGAGACCUUUUAGUACCAGGUCAUAACACCACCCAAUACUAAAAUGUUGAAGAUAGGUUGCCAAUGGUGAGGUGGAGCGUGGGGUCGAUGACGGUAAUAGCGGCGGGGAACUUCAACCCCCAGCCGAAGGGGCCAUGGCAGGUGGCAGGGAGAGGUUGAGGCUGUAGAGGAGAGGGUGUUUGAGCUUUGGGGGUGGCGAUUUGGAUUUGUUGAAGGAUAGCGGUGGGAUUUGCUGCUCAUUGUGGUUCAGGUGGAGGAACAAAGUAGAAAGAAAGAGACGAAAAUGUGGCCAACACUUUCAAGGAAAAGCAUGAGGUGACAUGGAGGAAUGCAUGAGCGAGGGUGUGGAUAGGCAACCCUUGAAAUGGAUUUCCAAGGACGGAUCACGGGAUGAACCAUCCCUGGAAAUGGGGCUAUUUUUAGGAGCGGAGGGAAACAUGGCCUGCAUCUAUAAAUAAGUAUUUUUAGGGGUAGGUCUUGUUUCUGUUCGUUCUAGGAAAUGUACAUUUCUAGGGGUACCCCACCCCAUAAUUGUAACACCUGGUUUUAAAACAAAACCAAGUGUUACCUAUAUGUAUGCCAGGAUCUAGUUUCAUAUAUAUAGUGAUAUCAUCAGUGAAUAAUAGUAACAAUAUCACGUAAAAAAAUAUAAAUAAUGACUUACGAGUCUAUCAGAGAUAUACAACUUAAUCAUGGAAAUCAAGGCUCCAAACUUCACAAGCAAUCGACUGUGGGUUGCGUACAUCUAGAACUCAGCAUCAUCUUGAGAAAACAUCACACACCUUCUUCUGAGCAGCAGUAAGUAAGGGUGAGUACACUUAUGGUUGGUACUCAGCAAAACCAUAUUGUGCCAAUCAUGCACUCAUCACACUACCGAGGUGUGACUACAUAGGGACACUACAAGAUCUUUACAAAGAUUCCCUAAUAAGUGGUAACCCGCUAAGGUUUCAUGUCGAAGUAGAGCAUAAACCUCUCUCAAGAUUGCGAAGCUAACAUAGAGCAGAUCAGACUGAGGGUCGGGUUACACCUCAUCAACGCCUCCCCUCUUGUCCUUUCGGUAAGAUUACCUCAAGCUGGAGUCUCUAAUUAAUUAGCCAAGACCAGAGCCAUAUAGUCCUUGUAGUUGCACUAUUUUCCUGGGUGGUUCUUCAUGUUCCAAUUAAUGCAUGGUAUUCUUGUAAAAUAAGAAUAGAUAGAAGGAUGGUUAAGGACACCUACCUUUAUCCAACGAAAAGUUACUCUUACUGCUCUUUAGCUCUUGCUCUCUUGAAACUCUUAAUCUUCAAAUCUUUUGAACAACUAUCCUUCUAUUUGAAGAAAUCAUCGGCACAAACAUAUAAGCAAACAAAAAAAGUACAAUUAAGAACAAUACACCAAAACAAAAAAAAUCUUGAAAAGAGUAUAAAGGAUAUGGCUCAAUUCUAAGAUCGCGAGGAUGUAAGAAACGCUUAAAACCAAACUAAGGUUGAAAAGACAAAGCUAUUGAGAGAUUUGAAUUAUAAAAGAAAAAGAAAAGCCUACGUGCUUCAUAUAUUUUAAUAAAGAAAACAAUGUAAAGAUAUUUUAGAGAAAAAUCCUUAUCAAGUUAUAUUUAUAUAUGAAAAGAUCAAGGUAGAACUUCGUCAAAUUUUUAUUUAUAAACAUUAAAGUACAAUUUAGGCAAAUUAAACAUUUAAUUUGAAAAUAAAGUAAGAGCCGCAAGACUCAAGGAACAAGCUAAACCAUUCAGUGGAUCUUCGGGGGUCUAGAUGCAAAAAGCUCAGAACUUUCUUCCUCAUGGCCGACGGUAGCUUGUACAGCCAAAUCACUGGCGCUACGGCGGCUGGGGUCUCCGGCGGACGGCACAGGAGGUGGAGGAGGUCCAGGGGAUCUAGUGGAGGCUCUUACCGGUGGCGGAGGUGAAGGGGGGCGGCCGAAAUUCGGAGGCGAUAAUGACCGCAGCGGUGGCUCGAGCUCCGCGCGGUGGCAACGCUCCGGUGAUGGAGGGGCGUCGAGGGCUGGCGUCAGUUCUUCAUCUUGGUGCAGGGACACUCCAGGUGGCAUCAGCAUGCUCCAGUUCGAACGUCAACCGCGACGAAACGGGCGGCCAACUCCUACGGCACUUCGGCUCUAGCGAUCGAUGGCGCACGGCGCUGCGCGAGCAGGCGAGGUGAGGCGCGAGGGAGGAAGAAGGGAUGAUGCGGAGCCUCAAGCUUGCUAUUUAUAGGGGCGUGGGAGGUGUGCCUUGGAGUGGCACGCACGAUGAGGAAACGACGGCAGUGGCGCAGUCCGCUUGGUGGCCGGGCUUAGAAGGGCCAAGCUGGGCCAACUAGUGGCGGACGGGUCAGAGCGGGCUGAUGCGAGUCAAGCCCAUAGCCUCGGCCCAAACUGAUAGGAUAGGUUUUUUUAUUAUUUUUAGAAAAUAAUUUCCCGUGGAAGGAAAAUCCAGAUAAAUCAAGAUAAUUCAAUAAAAGCUACAAAAAAUACUCUAAAAAUUCCCAAAAAUUUUAGGAAAAAUCCUAGUCGUAGAUUGGGACAUGAGGAAUCCAAAUAAAAUACUUGGAGCCCAUGAAAAAGGAAUUAGAGCCUUCUACUAAAUAGAUUUAUUUCUAGGAAAAUGAGAAUAAAUACCAGAAAGAUCUGGAAAAUUCUCAGGAGAAUUUGGUCGUCGUCUAAAUGCAUUUUUGAAACUUUUUCACUCAUGAAAUACUAUAAUGCAUCGGCAGGAAUGCAAAACACGUAGAAACAUUUUAUUUCUUUCAAAAUCAAUGAAUUGUUUUUCCUAUACUACAUUUCCUGUCAAAAAAAUAAAUGUUGAAAUUUUUUUAAAAUUAUGAGAAAAUCAUUGUUUAAUUAUUAUUUUUAUUUAAUCACAUCCUAAAAUCUAAAAAUUUCAGGGUGUGAAUAAUCCACCCCUAUAAAUCCAUUUUUAGAGGUGGAUGAAUUGCUACAGUAACACCUAUUUUUUGGUUGGGGGGCUUCUCAUCCAGCCAAAAAAAUCAAGUGGCACCUAAAAAUCAUUUUUUAGUAGUGAUCGUACACGCGCUUCACUGCCAUGAACGCCGCCAUGCAUACCGCUCAACCAGCCGCCGGCGCCAUAGAUGGUGGCAUUCCGGUUCUUUCCCCAGUGUGGCAGGCCGCCGUACUUGCCCAUUGCCAUCUGCAUCUUGAUCUCGUCCACGACCUCCAAGUUUUGCACUGCACUAUGGACAAAAUAGUGCCCAUUAUCGUGCAGGGUUUUCCAUGUGAAUUGGCCCAAGGUACAUUCAACUUAUUUUGGCUGGCUUGGUCCCACAGUUUGAACCCAGAUUUUGGAUCUUUCCGCAUUUAAAUUGGUGCUGCUGCUGCAUUUAUUUGAUAAUGGUGCAAGAUAUGGAACCAUACAACAAAGGUAACUCAUCAUUAAUUUAGAAGGGUGCACAGAUUCAUGUAAUAAAUAAUCUACACCACCUAAGAUGUGUCUCUACCUCUAUAUAAACAAGAGCAAUCAAAGCAAUAUGUGCAUACUGGAACAAAAUAUCUACAGGCAUACCAAUAGUGUUCCUUUUCAUAUGGCAGUGAUCAAGAGCAGCGCAGUGAGGUCCAUGUGUGCUGCACUUUGCAUUCUUUUGAUAAUGUCUUCAGCACUCUCAGAGCUGGUGGAAGUUGUGUAUCUAACUGCUUUUCUACUUCCCAUGGUUUCAUUAUAUUCGUGGGGUUUACUAGGUGCGAUGUGGAUUUCAUGCACAUGAUCACGCUGAGUGUGACCCUAUGGACUGAUGCACUGAUCCGAAAUGCGAGGAUGAAUGUCAGAACAAAAAUACUGACCUACCUAUUGAACCUGAGUGCACCACACCUAAGGAGUGUUGCUGCACAUUUUAUCGGGAGGAAGAUAAUUCACUUCUUUGAAUAGAUUAAAAUGGUUGCCGAUGGCUAGAUUCAUUUCAUGGAUGCAGCCGAUACCAGAAUAGUACGCUUGCAUGUAAUGCAUCCAUAAUAUGUUUCUACCCAAAUCUAAUAAAAUAAAUGUGUCCCAUUUGUCCUCUUUUCCUCUAGUGUUUUUUUUACUCCCAAAUUCCAUGCUAAUAAAUGCUGCAUACAUGAUUUUAUUUUAAAAACAUUUCUGAAUACAUUUAAUUUGAUAAGUUCAAACACCGAGUGAGUCUUCUAUCUAUUGUAGGCUUAUGUUUAGUGAAGUGUGCCGGGCCUACUACUUCGGUGUUGGGCUGAGCCCACAUGAGAGCAGCUCCAGCGUUGCUCUUUUGAGGGUGCUCCAAGGAGAGAGAAAAAUAUUCUCCGGCAGCUUCACGCUGGAUCAGAGGGUGCUAGGGAGGUGCUAGGGAGCAGCUGAUGAUGAGUUUUGCACCAGGCGCUACGCAUUCAAUAUAUUUUCUGAAGUAACGUGGUUGGAUGGAUAGGUGAGAUAGUGGGAAGAAAAGCUAGAUCAAUGAUUCUUUAUUCAGCUGGAUCAAUGAUUUCUGAGAUGAGGUACUCAGCAGAUUGAACCGCCACAAGUGCCCUUCUCUUCUUAUCAGCCCGGUGUGCCUUGGUAUUGUCUUCCUGAAUAAUGGCCUUAUUAACCAGAUUACUAGAGCUGUCGUAGUAACAACCAAACGAACUGCAGCUUAGUACCGAGGCCCCUUCUCAAGCAAGCCUACUUUUUAGCAUGACAACUGGCGUACCGAGCAAGUUGAUUAACACUAUUAGCAUAUUGGAACACAGUUUGAUUUCUUUGUUUAAGUGACAUGACCUCUGACGGUUUUCUUUAGGCUGUGGAAAACGGCUCGUACCAACUCUGCCCGUUGAGAUGACCACACCCUGUUUCCAUUACCCCGUUAGGAAUGGAAACACAAACCAUUAUCUUGUACCCUAUCUUAACUCUGAAGUCUUCUUGGAAUAAUUUUCCGAUAACGGAAGUUUUAUUGAUUUAAUAAAUGUUACAUCACGGUGAUAUAAUUAACUUGAAAUCCUCCCAGCAUGUGCAAGCACAGAGCCUUACAGGCAGAAACAAAUGCAGAUGCGCUAAUGACCAUCAAUCCGAGGACUCCGCCACCCAUGCACUUAGGUAAAAAAAUUCCUCGACCACUUUCACCAAGCACUGAGAUGAGAUGCCGCUGCAACGGAAACAUAUGCCGUAGACUUUUGGAGCAUAGCCCAUGUACGAAGCUAGUGGAUAACUCUAAAGAUAACCUGCAUUGGAUGAGAUAAGGGUUUGUUUUCAAAUACCAUAGCAUUCUUGCAGAGCAACAAUAACAACAUAGUAGCAAUCACCCCAAGUAAAUAAUGCCCGUCAACCAAGUGCCGAAAAUAUUUUCUAGGCUAAGGGGCUUGAGAAAGACUUCAGUUGCAAACAUAUCCGUAUUAUCCUCACUGAAUGGUCAUAAGUGUUUCCCUUCCGUUGCCGACACAAGACCAUCCGACGGCGAAGGGUGACUAACGCCACUAGCUGGUAAACUAAGUAUGCUGGAACUUGUCCACUAAGGUUAGAGUCUAGCUAACUCAGCAUGGGUGCCCAUAUUUCUUAAUUAUGUUUCCGUUGGUUGAUAACAUACCCAUCGGCAUCCUAUCGUCAUGACUUAAUGAAUCCCAAUAUCUUCUAGACUAACGUUUACUUACAUGAGUAGGGUGUGUAUGCAUGUGUGGUUAACAGGUAUUUACUUUAAGGUCGGCUGGGCCGGCUUUCUCGAUGUGUCUAAUUAUGCUUAAGAAAAAGAAUCACUAGUGGAAAACUGAGUUUUAGUCCCGGUUGCAGACACGCAUAGAUGUCAAAAAUCCAACCGGAACUAAUCAUUCGGACUGUAAUAAUAAAAUUUGUUUGAAAUUAAAUACAUUGCAUUUAAAUUUUCAUGGGCAUUUAAACCUUUUUCAAAAUAAAUUAAUGAAUCAUAGGAGUUCGUUGUUGCAUUCACGAUGGUGCAUUAUUUUUGGUUGCUUGAAUUCAAAUUUGUGUUUGAAUUCAUCUGUUUGACUCUUUUAAACAAAUAGGAAACCCCUUUUCUUUUCCCUCCCUUUUCUUUUCUUCCUUUCAGCCUGUUUCUUUCUUUGGGCCCACUUCCUUCUCUUUCGCCCAGCAGCAAAACUGAAUAUGCACUUUGAAGAUAAACAUGCGAACCAUCAAAGGGCAGCAGACAACUUACAUACGCGACGGAGCGUUCUAAAUGGCAGAGUAGCCUUGCUGCCACGAUCCACUAAGAUCCAGCCCCACGUCGCAUGAAUUCCUCCCUCCCCCCUCCACCCCCGACAACGGCUUCAGGCUUGGACCCGCUACGACGACCAAGGACAAAUGCGCUCAAGGCUUGGGAAGAAAUUAACUUCCAUUGUCGGAACACUUGUUAAGGAUUACAAGAGACCAUAUCGCAAGUUUAUCUUCUUAGGUAUGGUCCACAAUGGAAGAGAGAUCUCCUAACUUGACCAAGCGGAUGUACACACUAUCAUUUGGCACGAAUCAGGCCAAGUCAGAUAGGUGCUAGUGGAGUUCCAUAUUCCACUACGUCCGGUAUGUAACUCAUAAUCGACCACCGGGGAGGGACAUGUGUGGGAUGGAUCGAAGACAAGACAAUGGCCAACACACGCAUGGACAUACCGGCCACAGGGUACCAUUACGUGUUUGUUGGACCCAACACAUGAAAAUAGCUGCGUUGGCCAUGAAAAUGUUUCCUAUAGGUCACACCUAGUGGCAUCAAAACCAUUUAGUGCCACUAACUGGUUGUGAUGAUUGAUGUCACAAACGGUUCUUUGUGCGUAGCGAGUUUAUAGCUGUAAUUCAAUUGAACCUGUUCUAGUACCUUGAACAACUAGUUCUUGAUGAGUAGCCAGGAGUGACGUUCCAUUUGUAACUAUUUAUUCUCUAUUAGUCUAAUGUUGUGAUAAAUGAUUUGCGUUGUCAGUUUAUGCACUUUGGCAGCCUGGAUGUAUGUCUUUUGAAGUAUGUGUAACUUUCUCUAGAAUUGAGGAACUUUAAUUGACUAAGUGGUCUUGGAUUUACAGCAUCAACCACUAUAAUUAGCCAUUGCUCCAAUGGCCCAUUUUUUCCGUUAAUGCUAUAUGAUCCGACACCAAUAUGUGUACAAACAUAAGAGCAUCUGACGAGUAUCAUUUUACGGUGAAGACAUUGGAUCCCCACUCGCACUAACACAUUGCAAAUGCGAAAAGCAGGACCGGGUCUCCCCCCUGCAAUAAAUGCCAUUUUAACUGGUCCUAUAAACUGUUUUCUAGUGGUGUGAUGUAGUCUGUUGGAAUCAGCACCGUGGAACCAUCUGACAUUCAUACAUUAGCUUCACCAAACAAAUAUUCUUCUGUGCAUUAAAGCUUCAUACUUCAACAUGUACAAGUUCUCUAUGUAGGAUAUUUCAGCUAGAAGAUCUUCCCUUUCUUGAACUAGCCAUUUGAGCAUUAUUCAUUCUCAGGCCCAUUGUUCCAACGGCUUGCACGUUCUUGGAAUGUGUUAUCAUGGAAUGCUAGGGGUAUCGAUUCGUAGACAAGAUGGAAUGUCGUCAAGAGCAAAAUAUCUGAAUCCAACUGUGAUAUUGCCUGUUUACAAGACACCAAAAGGGAGUUUUUUUAUGCUAGAUAUAUUAGGAACUUCUAUCUCCCACAGUUAGAUUCUUUCGAUUUCCUCCCAUCUAUUGGCAACUCAGGGGGAACUAUUAUAGUGUGGAAUGGUUCCAAAUUCAAGGGGGAACCUAUCUUUCAAAAUCUUUAUGCCCACUUUGUAGAUUUUCAGUGCAAGCUAUCAGGGGAACGUUGGAUCCUCACGAAUAUCUACGCCCCAUGUACUCCGGAGGGGAAGCUAUCCUUUAUUGACUGGUUCAAAAGGGUUGAAAUACCAGAGGAAAAAAAUUGGCUAAUAGUUGGGGACUUCAACCUUCUUAGGAAGCCGGAUGACAGAAACAAUCCGGGGGAAACAAUCCGGGAGGAAAUGUUCAGGAAAUGCUUCUCUUCAAUGAAGCUAUUAGCAGGCUUAGGCUCACAAAAAUUCAGCUCAAAGGAUGCAAGUACACUUGGUCCAACAAACAGCAGAAUCCUCUUCUGGAGAGGCACGAUUGGUUCUUCAUAUCUAACCCUUGGACCAUCUCCUAUCCCAAUACUUAUGCCUCAUCGCUGUCCAGUGACUCCUCAUAUCAUGUUCCUUGUGUAGGCUCGAUCUCUAAUAGCAUUCCACAGCCACAAGUUUUUAGAUUUGAGAAUUAUUGGCUAGAACAUGAUCGGUUCCCAACCAUUCUCCAACAAGGUCGGGCAACUCCACUUCUAGGCACAGAUAGGGCAAAGAACAUCGGGGCCAAGUUCAAAAACCUGAGGAAGGUUUUCAGGAUCUAGAAAGCAUAGCUCCCCAGUUUGGCGAAAGCAAUCCAGAGCACCAAAGACACCAUUCAACUCCUUGACAUCAUCGAAGAACUUAGAGAUCUUACCCUGCAAGAAUGGAACUUUAGAGAAGUCAUCACAUCACAUCUGAAUAGCUUGCUCCACCAACAAAAAGUCUAUUGGCAGCAAAGAAGCUCCAUCAAUUGGGCCAAAAUGGGGGAUGAAUGUACAAAAUUCUGCCAUGCAAGGGCCUCAGUCAGAAAUAGAAUCAAUUAUAUCACUUCUUUAGUUGAUGCCAAUGGACAAAUUGUCUCUAAACAUGAAGCUAAAGCCAGGAUUCUUUGGGAAGCUUAUAAGGAAAGGAUGGGGAGAUUUGAAUUUACUCACAUGUACUUUGAUCUUUCUACUAUCUUGACAUCAGAUCCAAAUUUGGAAUGGCUAGAAUCUCCCUUUAUGAAAGCAGAGAUCGACACAAUUACAGGGGAACUUCCAAGUAACAAGUCCCAAGGCCUAGAUGGCUUGAAUGGAGAGUUUCUCAAGAGAUGUUGGGACUUGAUAGCUGAAGAUUUUUAUAGACUGUCUGAAGGUUUUCUUGACAUAAGUGUGUGUGUUCAGAGCAUUAAUGCUUCAUACAUCACACUAAUCCCCAUGAAAGACUGUCCCUCUCAAGUGGGAGACUUCACGCCAAUCUCCCUCCUAAACUCAACGAGCUAAUAACUAAAAUUCUAGCAGAAAGGCUACAACAGGUUAUCUUAAGACUAGUGUAUAAAAAUCAGUAUGGUUUCAUAAAGUCUAGAUCCAUACAAGACUGUUUAGCAUGGGCUUUUGAAUAUCUUCACAUCUGUAAAGCCUCAAAGAGAGAAUUAAUCAUCAGCAAGCUGGACUUUGAAAAAGCCUUUGAUAGGAUUGAGCACCAAGCCAUUUUGGAUAUCUUAAAACAUAAGGGCUUUGGGGACAGAUGGAUUGGGUGGAUAAAGGACAUUCUCAACACUAGAACAUCUUCAGUACUCCUCAAUGGUGUGCCAGGGAAAGUCUUUCAUUGCAGAAGAGGUGUCAGACAGGGGGAUCCUCUAUCCCCACUUCUAUUUGUGCUAGCACCGGACCUUUUUCAGUCAAUCCUAAAUAAAGCCAAAGAGGAAGGAAGCUUACACCUACCGAUCCCUGAAAGAGCUGGACCUGACUUCCCAGUUAUACAAUAUGCAGAUGACACCCUUCUGGUCAUGGAAGCAGAUCCUUCCCUGUUGUUGCAUCUCAAGCAUCUGCUUAAUCAGUUUGCGGAGUCAACUGGUCUUAAAGUAAACUACAACAAGACUGUUAUGGUACCUCUGAACACUUCUGAGGAUAAACUCCGACAACUUUCGUCAAUGUUCGAUUGCCAUGUCGGAAGCUUGCCACUCACCUACUUGGUGCUACCACUUGGUGCAACAAAGCCUAACAUUGAGGAAUUCCUUCCAUUAAUACAGAAGGUGGAGCGAAGAUUGGGAGGCAUCUCUAACAUGUUAUCUCAAGGGGGCAAACUCGAACAGGUAAAUUCAGUCUUUUCUUCCUCACCAAUGUUUCAUAUGGCAACCUUAAAGCUUCACAAGGGGGUUAUCACACAAUUAGAUAAAUAUAGGAAACACUAUCUCUGCAGAGGAUCUAAUUUGAAUUCUAGGAAACCCUCCAAGGCAGCUUGGCCUAUGGUGUGCCUACCAAAACAGCAAGGAGGACUUGGGGUUAUUAACCUGAACAGUCAAAAUGAUGCCCUUCUUCUCAAGUUCCUACACAAGUUCUUCACCAGAGCUGAUACUCCCUGGGUUCAUUUAUUCUAGGAUAAUUAUUAUUCUAAUGGGAAACUGCCUGGACAGCACAAAAAGGGCUCAUUCUGGUGGAGAGAUUUAGUCAAGCUACUGGACAAAUACGAAGGAAUAGUGUCGGCAUGGGUAUCGGAUGGCUCUACUGUAUUGUUCUGCAUGGACACAUGGAUUGAGCAGGUCCUCUACCUGGAAUUCCCCCAGUUAUUCUCUUAUGCCAAAAACAAACUGGUAUCAUAUAAGGAGGCUACAAGCAGAAUAUCACUGUCUCAAAAUUUUCACCUGCCACUCUCAGAAGAAGCUCAUCAGCAGUUGCUGAUUCUGCAGAAUAGAUUGAGGAAUACUGUGAGAGCUCAAGGCAGAGAUCAGUGGACUUACAUUUGGGGAAGCCCCCGCUUUUCGGUAGCAAAAACUUAUAAAGUCAUAACAGGCACAAGAACCAUACAUCCAAUUCAUAGAUGGAUAUGGAAAUCUAAAUGCCAAAAGAAGCACAAGAUAUUUUUCUAGCUAUUAAUUAAAUUCAGACUGAGCACCAAAGACAUUCUAAGCAGAAAAACAAUGUAUUUGGAUACUUAUGCUUAUGUGCUUUGCAUCCUCCAGAAAAAGGAGACAAUGCCGCACUUAUUCUUGAGAUGCAACUUCUCGAAAGCUUGUUGGAGCACUUCCUCCAGGCCACCCUUUCGGAUUUUUAACUCAAUCAAGGAUAAACUGAACGUUCCCUUCUACAUGGAGAUCAUUAUUUUAAUGGCCCGGAGCAUUUGGUCCGUGAGGAAUGACUGGACCUUCAACAAUGUCCCCCCUCGGUACAGAGCUGCAAAAGGAAAUUCAUGGAAAAAAUGAAUACCGUCUGUCUACAUAGAGCGAAAUCUUCCCUAGCUCUUGCCAUGAUGGAAUGGUUGUAAUCUUUUCUUUCUUUUUUCUUCCUUUGUUGUUGCCUUUUCUACCUUCUACUUCUGUUGUUUCUUGGACUCGCCUUUCAUUUAAUAUAUUUCAGUAGGAGCUUGCCCCUCCCGUUCCUUCAAAAAAAAAACUUCGAGCACUUCUCCAUGGGCUUCAUCACCAUAGUUUCGAUUUGGGCAAUUUCAUUGCACCGAACCUUCCAGCUUGCAUUUUCUUAACUGAAUCUCGAGCAUGGGGCAAUAUUCUGGCAUCUACAACGGACCUGCCAUCAAGCAUUCCAAUGUAUAGAUCUAUCCUGUUUGUUUGCCUAAUAUUCGGAUGCAAUACUCCGCCGUGUGUAAAAAAAUCCAAGGCCAACGGACCAUACCGUGUUAACAAUUUUAGUGCCUAAUCCAAUACAAAAUUAGUUCCAGUUUGUACGGCUACUCAUUCAUUGCAGUCUUCAGACCAAAUCUACGGUGACAUAUUUUUGGAAAUAAGCUUGUCGAAAUCACUAUAUUGUAAUUCAAUCACCAAAAUCUGAACUAUGGUCUGAUGGAGCCAAUUCUCCGUGGGCUUUAUUACCAAAGUUUCACCUUAGGCAAUUUCAUUUCACCUAACCUUCCAGCUUGCAUUUUCUUAACUGAAUGUUAAGCACGGUGCAAUACUCUGGCAUGUGCAACUGACCUGCCACCAAGCACUGCGAUGCAUGGUUCUAUCCUCUUUGGUUGCCUAAUAUUCUGUAAAAAAAAUAUUCAAGGCCAACAGACCAUACCGUGUUAAAAAUUUUAGUGCCCAAUCCGAUACAAAAUCAGUUCCAGCAAUGACGGCUAUUCAUCCAUUGCAGUGUUUGGAACACCUCCACAGUGACUAUAUUGUAAUUCAAUCACCAAAAUCCGAAACUAUGGUCUAGUGAAGCUAUAUUGUGUACGAAAUAUUAAUUCAUGGGAUUUGUCAACGAUUUUAUGAAGCUGUAUAUAUGAUACCUUCCACUACGGGAUUUGUGUACAAAAUAUUAAUUCAUGAGAUUUGUCCAUGAUUUUAGGAAGCUAUGAUAUCUUCAACUACCGGAUUGCGUAUAUAAGAUAAUCUUCACCAGUUAUCACAGGAGGAAGCACGCAUUAAAUAAUAAAUAACUAAUGCUGAUUCAACUCUGAGAUGAAAAGGAUUCCGUUCUCAAAAAUCGAAAAAAAGGUAACGUGCUCAUAACAAUGUCGACUCUUCACAUCUGAGAAGCUUAUAAGUGAACUACCUACCGUAUGUUAUUAAAACAUUUUUGCUGCCUAUAAAUUGGGCAUCAUUUCAGCAGACCACCACGGCACCUGAGCUUGCCAUCUUUUCCUGCUCAUCAUAUGUCCCGUAGCUACUAGCUACUAGCUAAGCCAUCUUUUCCUGCUCAUCAUAUGUCCCGUAGCUACUAGCUACUAGCUAAGCCAUCUUUUCCUGCUCACUCAUUUGUCCCGUAGCUACUAGCUAAGCCACCAUAUCAUCCAUGGCUUCUGGUGCCUCCACCACGCUGAAGAUGGCCUCUAUCGCCGCUUGCAUCCUGCUGGUCCUGCUGUCCAAUGGCCACCCUACCGCGGCAGCCGUUGAUUGUAUUGCGGCUUGCAAAGAACCGUGCCAGGGUUUUUCUAACGGGCUCUGCGCGGGUGGAGCCACCAGCGGUUGUACGACUACGGCAGCAGCUACAGCAUGCCGCAAUUUGGCGUUCUCGCAGUGUGCGAACACCUGCUUCACAGUUUGCACUGCUGUGAGCAUCGCGCCUUGCACUUGAAGAUGCAUUCGUGUUCCUACUUCCACAUUAUUGUUACUGCAGAAUAAUAUGGGUCAGUGCACACAAGCAUACAUGAUGAGCCACUGUCGUUUUUCCAUUUUGUCAUUUAUUUAUUGAAGGCAAUGUACGUUUUUCCAUUUGAUCAUUUACUUAUUGAAGGCAAUGUACGUGUCUAUCUCCUGUGUGGUUGAGCAUGUCAUCUUGGAAUUCUGUCCAAAGUUUUACAUACCACCUUGUAUUGUUGUGUGUGGGUAUCAAUAUAAUUUAUGAACUAUCUUCCUUUAUCAUAGACAUAUCAACUUUCCACUGCAAGAAACUAUUUAAUCUGUGACGAAACAAAAUUGUCACAUAUCACUAAAAAAUCGUCAUAAAGCAAUGCCCGUGAUGAUUUCAGAUAACGUCAUGUAUUGAGCGUCACAGAUUAAAUCGAUCGACGUUUUCUUCGAAAUCGUCACAGAUCAACACAAUCUAUGAUGUUUUUUACCUGUCACAAAACACCCUUAGGCCCGUGCAGCAGCCCAGGCCUAGUGUUUGUGACGAAAAUAAACAUCACAGAUGGUUGCCACGUGGCUGGUGAUGUGGUUGAUGACGUGGACGAGGACAUGGCUAGUGACGUCAUUGAUGAUGUGGCCAGUGACGUCGAUGACAUGGAGAGGCUUCACCAUAGUAUUUUGUAUCGCCGUUAGACCUAUCGUUUAUUUCCGCUGCUUUUGAACUCUGAACGCUACUUUUAUGCAUGUGAACUAUAGGCUUGUAAUAACUUAAUGUGGGACCUGUAAUAAUUUAUCUGGAUUGUUGUAAUCUUUGGACUCGUCUUCGUGCGAGUAUACUUUGUUUCGAUCCGAAACACAUGGUUGCAUCGGGUGAAACCCGACAGACUACCAAUUUAAUUCGAUUAAAGUGUCUAUUCACAUUUAAGGCUAUGUUGAAUAUACUUUAGCCGGGUUAACUUGGAUGGUUCUACCACACUGGCGCAUCCCUGAGGAUUCCUAUCUGCUUGCUCGAUGUCAUCUGUAUCUGGCCCUGUGAUAAGGGCGAAGAGUUCAUUGUCUAGAGAGAGGCUUCCAGAACUUUGGGUGAUGACUUAUUUAGAGUCAUUGUCUUCAUGGAUAGAAGACAAAGGUGAUCCCUCCUAGUACGGAAGAACGUUGAGAUGGGCCAUGAAGUGUGAUUCGUUGUCCUGGGCGAGGGUAGGUAGCCUCAUGCCAGGCUAGUAGAUGAAUCUGCCUUGAGGGGUUGAGGUGAUCACCAGGCCCUGCUGCGAACCUGUUAGUGGAGUCUCCUCGUCGGAAUCCAAGUAGUGAUCGUAGUUGUGGUCCUUAAUCGGACAUGAGUUAGAUUGCAACCCGGAUAAGGCUGCUUGAUAGGUGGAAGCUGCGUUACAGAGUCCGAAUGGGAGUUGGCUCGGAAUUUGACUUGAUUCGCACGAUGCAGAACCUGACAAGAUAACCUGCUGGGGUAUUACGUCAAUAGAUCAACCAAAAGAAUGCGCAAUAAUAUCUACCACCAAAGGCAACCCAAAAGCAUUAUCUACCUAUAGUGCCAGAUCAGUCAUCAACAAAGAUCUAUGGAGACCUUGUUUUCUCUUGCUUUGGAUUUGGAGAUAGCAUAGAACAAAAGCCUUGAACCUACAUAAACAAAGAAAAAAAGUACUGCAGUGCUAAAAAUAAGAAAUACCUCGUAGAAAAAUACCAGUAAUGGGUUUAUGGGUUCCCACUCAUCCUUGGGUAGCCACUUCUCUAGAGAGAUUCUUGUGUGUUCCGGUGUUGUAGUUUUCUGCGCAUGAUACAUAGCAACAUAAGGGCUAUUCCCCAACCUCAUAAUUGAUAGUAAUGUACAUCUUCUGGAAAGGACCUCUUUCUGUUGCAAGUGUGACUGCCACGCUCAUGCCAUUAAAGAAGUUAGCAGUUCGGUUAGGCAAUUAGUUGCCCACAGGAGGAAAGUAAAGCAACCGUGGAGAGUGCAGAGGCGUCUUUCUAGCUCCAGCAUCACCAAGCACACCACACCAGUCAUCAGCUAAUCUGAUGACAUGGCAGGAAAUUUAAGAGGGGAGAGAAGGAAUUAGUUUCAUCUAGAUGAAAUUCUUCUCGCAAUAAACCAACUCUGAAUGUGUCAUGAAAUUAAAUGUACCCCAUGCCGCUUUUUGUGCGCUCUUAUUAAUGUCGCUUUGUCUAAGUUCAAUACACUUACCAAGACUAUCGCAUUUGGUGACUGGCACUCCACCUAAGGGUACCCAGAUGGUUGAUUUGUAAACACAGAGGAUCGCAAGACCAUGAACUACUUGAUGGUAAUGCAAGGCACAAGACAUAGAGAUUUAUACAUGUUCGAGCCGUUAGUGUAGCGUAAUACCCUACGUCCUGUUUUGGGGGAUUGUAUUGCGCCCUGCGCUCGGGUGUUGGUUGUUGUGUUGAGGGAUUGGCCGUCCUCCUAGGGGUACCCCUACGUACCCUUAUAUACUCCCCUAAUAACUCUUCUUAAUAGGAUAGAUUACCAAGUAGAAUUAAUUAUGCAUGCACGCUUUCAGUAAUUGUCGCACCUAUUAGCCUUCCUUAUUUAGCGAGACUUCCUCGGGCAUCGAUGGUGUGCCGUUUCUAUAGUGAACGGUAAUGAAUGUGGACACUUUUAUGAGUGCUGACACGAAAGGUUCAAUUUGUAUGAAUGAUCUUCUGUAGGUACACUAACCGCGCUUACGUUACGUUAACAAAAGGUUAGAGAAUUGACUAGUUAUUAUAGGAAGAGCCGAAAACUGUUGCCUCGCCACCAGCACUAACCCCGUAAGUCCAAGUAAUUGGCAGUUCUUUCAUUUGUGAGGACGCAUAGGUCAUGCAUGCAUCAUGUUAAAAACUUGCAAAUUGGAAAUUGGAACAACUUUCCUAUAGAUGAUUGGGAGGACUAAUGUCACUCUCACAAAAAAUUUUGCCAAAUCACCUAAGGAUUUUCUAGUUGUCUCGAACUGCAGCUAACUACUGUCAGAAAUUUUUUUCUCCGAGCUCUUAAAUGGUCUUGGUUCCAGAAUUUAGUAAAUGAUAUGCUGUAAAAAUUUCAUAAAUUUUGGUCAAGUGAAACUCGAGUUAUGCUUGAAUAACUAACCCACUGUUUGCAAACUGCCACUAAGGUUCACAGGUAGCUCUGAAUGUUCGCUUCUCUGUUGAACAUUACUCUGAAACCUAGCAGAAAAGGGUCGAACAGGGACAGCCAGUGCAGCCAAGAAUCCAUGAACUAAGGUCAAUAUCAAGAAGUAUGUCUGAAGCUAGUAGCAGUGGUUCAGGCUCCAAGUACUUCUUGCCAAAAUUGUGUCCUCCCGGGUUGACUCGUACCCAAAGGAGGAAGUUGCAGAGGUUAAGGCUGCAGGAGAAGAGGGAACAGAAGCUGGAGAAGCGAAGGAAUGAGGCAUUCAACACGAAUAGACCCAUAGUCCCUCAGAAGAAGGAGUGGAGAGUUAAGGCCGAUACCCCCAACUCCACCAGUCAGACUUGCAGAAGGACCGGUCGGACCUAGUGCGGUCGGCAUGGUCGGGGCGGUCACUGGCGCAGUCGGCGUGGUUGAUGACUCGGUCGGCGCGGUCGUCGGCGCAGUCAGACCGGUCGAGGGGUCGGCGAGGAGCGACGGCGGGGCAACAAAGUAACCGUGAGCGUGGCGGGGCGGAGCUUGAGCGGCGGAGGCGGAUGGGAGGGGUGGAGGCGGCGGUGGAUGUGGAGGGGAGGUAGCGGAGGGGGAGGAGGAGGAGGAGGCAGAGGAGGCCGGCGGUGGGCGGAGGAGGUGGAGGAGGGUGAGGAGGAGGAGGAGGCAGAGGGAGGUCAGGGCUGGCGGGGGGAUUUUCUUUUUUUAAGAACAUUCAGCCUUAUUAUCACCUAGCGGAGGCGGAUGGAGUUCCACAACAUGGUGUAUCGGACGGGCAUUUCAUUGAAGUCCCUAGGGGCGUCUAAUGGGUGGCUGUAGUGGGUGUACAUCACGACGAGCGUCUGUAGCCAUUGCGACAGCCUAGAGCACGACAACGAGGCGGAAGACCCCGUCAUGGGUGAAGAUGGCCAGCGUUUUUUUAAAAAAACUUACAGGUGGCCAGUGUGGUGGGCAUGAUUGGGCUUAUCACCAGUGGCGGAGGAGGCGGACGCACGAAGCGAUGGGAAUGGCGCCGAGUUUGGUCGAACCAUCUGGAAACCAGAGUUGCAACGCUUGCACUGGACGGCUGAGAUUUACGAUGCUCGAUAUCUGACGGGCGAAAAAGGGAGAGACUUGGCCCAAUCACUGCAGAGAAACUUCACCGGAAAUCAGGGUAAGCCUAAUAAUUUUGGCAGCUGUGUAUAUUUAGAUGCAUAUAAACAUUUAUAAACCUAAAACAUUAAAAUGACCUGCAAUUAAAAAUGGAGGGGUAAAAAAGAAGGCCCCGACAAACGUGUCAGCACAUUCCUGCCUUUCUCCCCCCAAUGAGUAAACUCCAAUCCAAAAUUUGACUGUAUUUUGUUAACGGUUAUAUUUCAUAAGUUUGAUAACAAUACCCAGCUAGGGCUAAUGAUGAUAUGAAAUUGGCCACAAUUUUUGUUCUUGGGAGGUAUCUGUGAGGUGAGAAAAUGGGCAACAUGUGUGGAAAAUGCUAAUACGCCUACCGUGUGGCAUAUUUUGCGUUGUACCACAUACUUACCAAUACUGAUACAAGAUAUGCUCAAUACCCCUCAAUCCAACUUACCAAUACUGAUACAAGAUAUGCUCAACUUGUGAACUUAACUGAGGUAUAUGCUUUCUAUGUUCGUCCGUUCCAGCAAUUGUCUAAGGCAACGCGAAAUCCAGUUACUGUGGGCUAAUAACAACCUAUCUGUUGGUGUUUCUUGGUGUCUAUGGGUGUGCUUCUGAUUUGCAUGCUUUUUUUGUUUGUUGUGUGAUGAAAUAAGGCACUAUGUACAUCUUUGCUUAUUAUUUCCCACUGAUAUAUGGGUACGGACGUGUAAUCAUUAAUUGUGAUAUUCAUUCAGCUGACGACAGUCAGUUGACAUCACUUGAAAGUAUGCUUGAAUUCGUAAGGUGUCCCGUGCAAGUAGCGUGGCUACAACCGCGGCAAUAUUUUUUUCUGAUCAAAAUCGAUCGUCCUUUUUUGUUGAAAAGAUAAGUAUGAUAUACUUCACGUGGUGUUAGACUUGCAAAUUUUUGAGUGCAAUAUAUGAGUAAGUAUUCAAUACUAACAUUUUUUCUCUAAACAUUAACUACCAACAUAGCUUAUCAGAUAAUGCAGCAUUGUUUAUCCGACAUGCAUAACCACCUAACACUCAGACACUGAGACACACCAUCCAUUACCGUCACUGAAUCUAUGUCAGCGCGCUGAGCCAGGGUUAGGAACCUCCACUAACUCGUUAGAGGCAAACCCAAGAUCUAGACUGCUUCUGCUUAAUUCCCUCACUAGCUUAAUCCACUAUGAAAUGUAAAUGCACAACACUCUUAGCAAUUCGCUCAUAAGAUUCUUGAAUUUGGCAAAUUUUUGGUGCAAUCUUCACUGCGAGAAAAACGACCUUUUGUCCAACAUAUUAGUACCGGCCACAUUUCAACCCGGUACUAAUACCAACAUUAGUAUGGGAUCCAAUUUAGUAGCCACCGGAGACCUUUUAGUACCAGGUCAUAACACCACCCAAUACUAAAAUGUUGAAGAUAGGUUGCCAACGAAAAGUUACUCUUACUGCUCUUUAGCUCUUGCUCUCUUGAAACUAUUAAUCUUCUAAUCUUUUGAACAACUAUCCUUCUAUUUGAAGCAAUCAUCGGCACAAACAUAUAAGCAAACAAAAAAAGUACAAUUAAGAACAAUACACCAAAACAAAAAAAAGCUUUAAAAGAGUAUAAAGGAUAUGGCUCAAUUCUAAGAUCGCGAGGAUGUAAGAAACACUUAAAACCAAACUAAGGUUGAAAAGACAAAGCUAUUGAGAGAUUUGAAUUAUAAAAGAAAAAGAAAAGCCUACAUGCUUCAUAUAUUUUAAUAAAGAAAACAAUGUAAAGAUAUUUUAGACAAACAUCCUUAUCAAGUUAUAUUUAUAUAUGAAAAGAUCAAUGUAGAACUUCGUCAAAUUUUUAUUUAUAAACAUUAAAGUACAAUUUAGGAAAAUUAAACAUUUAAUUUGAAAAUAAAGUAUAGGUAAACAUCUAAGCGCAUAACUUUAUGAUUCAGGUUGAACUAACCAAAUAUAAUUAAAAAAACACAUUUCUAUUUAUAUUUGUCAAAAUAAAAUUUAAUAAAUAAAACUUGAGAUAUAACCUAUGUAGCUUUUAUUUAUAAAACAAAAUCAAGACACAUUAAUCAAGUUGAGUUUAAUUGAUGAAAAGCUGAGGUAUAUCUCUAAUUAGCUUUUAGUUGGAAGAGUUGCUUAAAUAAGCAUUAACCAAAUUUACAUUAGUUAUCAAAAUACGAGGUUGAACUUUAAUUAGAUUUUAAUUAGAAAAGCAAGUAUAUAAAUACUUAAUCAUAUUAAUAUUUUAAAUAAAUUAUAAAAUAGGGAACAUGAUUAACAUUGCUUCUAACACAUUGUGUUAAGUUGAUAUGAAUCUAACGCAAUAAGAACGAGGUUAAACGGAGGUAAAACAUGGAAUCUAUGGAUUAAACAAGGUUCUAAGGAUCUAAAUAGAAUUAACUAUAGAUCUCAGGGGCUAGCAGAGAAGAUUCACAAGACAUGGAAAUGUGCUUCAAAAAGGCUGAAAGAUCAAGGUUAGAUUCAUAAAUGGAGCUUGGGUUGGACUAGGUUGUAGGAACCUCAUCUAACCAGGGGGUUCUAUGUAAGAGCCGCAAGACUCAAGGAACAAGCUAAACCAUUAAGUGGACCUUCGAGGGUCUAGAUGCAAAAAGCUCAGAGCUUUCUUCCUCAUGGCCGACGGUAGCUUGUACAGCCAAAUCACUGGCGCUACGGGCGGCUGGGGUCUCCGGCGGACGGCACAGGAGCUGGAGGAGGUCCAGGGGAUCUAGUGGAGGCUCUUACCGGUGGCGGAGGUGAAGGGGGCCGGCCGAAAUUCGGAGGCGACAAUGACCGCAGCGGUGGCUCGGGCUCCGCGUGGUGGCAACGCUCCGGUGAUGGAGGGGCGUCGAGGGCUGGCGUCAGUUCUUCGUCUUGGCGCAGGGACACUCCAGGUGGCAUCAGCAUGCUCCAGUUCGAACGUUAACCGCGACAAAACAGGCGGCCAACUCCUACGGCACUUCGGCUCUGGCGAUCGACGGCGCACGGCGCUGCGUGAGCAGGCAAGGUGAGGCGCAGGGCGAGGGAGGAAGAAGGGACGACGCGGAGCCUCAAGCUUGCUAUUUAUAGGGGCGUGGGAGGUGUGCCUUGGAGUGGCGCGCACGAUGAGGAAACGACGGCAGUGGCGCAGUCCGCUUGGUGGCUGGGCUUAGAAGGGCCAAGCUGGGCCAACUAGCGGCGGACAGGUCUCAGCGGGCUGACGCGAGUCAAGCCCACAGCCUCGGCCCAAACUGAUAGGAUAGGUUUUUUUAUUAUUUUUAGAAAAUAAUUUCCUGUGGAAGGAAAAUCCAGAUAAAUCAAGAUAAUUCAAUAAAACCUACAAAAAAUACUCUAAAAAUGCCCAAAAAUUUCAGAAAAAAUCCUAGUGGUAGAUUGGGACACGAGGAAUCCAAAUAAAAUACUUGGAGCCCAUGAAAAAGGAAUUAGAGCCUUCUACUAAAUAGAUUUAUUUCUAGGAAAAUGAGAAUAAAUACCAGAAAGAUCUAGAAAAUUCUGAGGAGAAUUUGGUCGUCGUCUAAAUGCAUUUUUGAAACUUUUUCACUCAUAAAAUACUAUAAUGCAUCGGCAGGAAUGCAAAACACGUAGAAACAUUUUAUUUCUUUCAAAAUCAAUCAAUUGUUUUCCUAUACUACAUUUCCUGUCAAAAAAAUAAAUGUUGAAAUUUUUUUAAAAUUAUGAGAAAAUCAUUGUUUAAUUAUUAUUUUUAUUUAAUCACAUCCUAAAAUCUAAAAAUUUCAGGGUGUGAAUAAUCCACCCCUAUAAAUCCAUUUUUAGAGGUGGAUGAAUUGCUACAGUAACACCUAUUUUUUGGUUGGGGGGAUUUCUCAUCCAGCCAAAAAAAAUCAAGUGACACCUAAAAAUCAUUUUUUAGUAGUGAUCGUACACGCGCUUCACUGCCAUGAACGCCGCCAUGCAUACCGAUCAACCAGCCGUCGGCGCCAUAGAUGGUGGCAUUCCGGUUCUUUCCCCAGUGUGGCAGGCCGCCGUACUUGCCCAUUGCCAUCUGCAUCUUGAUCUCGUCCACGACGUCCAAGUUUUGCACUGCACUAUGGACAAAAUAGUGCCCAUUAGGUUUUCCAUGUGAAUUGGCCCAAGGUACAUUCAACUUAUUUUGGCUGGCUUGGUCCCAUAGUUUGAACCCAGAUUUUGGAUCUUUCCGCAUUUAAAUUGGUGCUGCUGCUGCAUUUAUUUGAUAAUGGUUCAAGAUAUGGAACCAUACCACAAAGGUAACUCAUCAUUAAUUUAGAAGGGUGCACAGAUUCAUGUAAUAAAUAAUCUACACCACCUAAGAUGUGUCUCUACCUCUAUAUAAACAAGAGCAAUCAAAGCAAUAUGUGCAUACUGGAACAAAAUAUCUACAGGCAUACCAAUAGUGUUCCUUUUCAUACGGCAGUGAUCAAGAGCAACGCAGUGAGGUCUAUGUGUGCUGCACUUUGCAUUCUUUUGAUAAUGUCUUCAGCCCUCUCAGAGCUGGUGGAAGUUGUGUAUCUAACUGCUUUUCUACUUCCCAUGGUUUCAUUAUAUUCGUGGGGUUUACUAGGUGCGAUGUGGAUUUCAUGCACAUGAUCACGCUGAGUGUGACCCUAUGGACUGAUGCACUGAUCCGAAAUGCGAGGAUGAAUGUCAGAACAAAAAUAUUGACCUACCUAUUGAACCUGAGUGCACCACACCUAAGGAGUGUUGCUGCACAUUUUAUCGGGAGGAAGAUAAUUCACUUCUUUGAAUAGAUUAAAAUGGUUGCCGAUGGCUAGAUUAAUUUCAUGGAUGCAGCCGAUACCAGAAUACUACGCUUGCAUGUAAUGCAUCCAUAAUAUGUUUCUACCCAAAUCUAAUAAAAUAAAUGUGUCCCAUUUGUCCUCUUUUCCUCUAGUGUUUUUUUACUCCCAAAUUCCAUGCUAAUAAAUGCUGUAUACAUGAUUUUAUUUUAAAAGCAUUUCUGAAUACAUUUAAUUUGAUAAGUUCAAACACCGAGUGAGUCUUCUAUCUAUUGUAGGCUUAUGUUUAGUGAAGUGUGCCGGGCCUACUACUUCGGUGUUGGGCUGAGCCCACAUGAGAGCAGCUCCAGCGUUGCUCUUUUGAGGGUGCUCCAAGGAGAGAGAAAAAUAUUCUCCGGCAGCUUCACGCUGGAUCAGAGGGUGCUAGGGAGGUGCUAGGGAGCAGCUGAUGAUGAGUUUUGCACCAGGCGCUACGCAUUCAAUAUAUUUUCUGAAGUAACGUGGUUGGAUGGAUAGUUGAGAUAGUGGGAAACAAAUGCAGAUGCGCUAAUGACCAUCAAUCCGAGGACUCCGCCACCCAUGCACUUAGGUAAAAAAAUUCCUCAACCACUUUCACCAAGCACUGAGAUGCCACUGCAACCGAAACAUAUGCCGUAGACUUUUGGAGCAUAGCCCAUGUACGAAGCUAGUGGAUAACUGUAAAGAUAACCUGCAUUGGAUGAGAUAAGGGUUUGUUUUCAAAUACCAUAGCAUUCUUGCAGAGCAACAAUAACAACAUAGUAGCAAUCACCCCAAGUAAAUAAUGCCCGUCAACCAAGUGCCAAAAAUAUUUUCUAGGCUAAGGGGCUUGAGAAAGACUUCAGGUGCAAACAUAUCCGUAUUAUCCUCACUGAAUGGUCAUAAGUGUUUCCCUUCGGUUGCCGACACAAGACAUCCGACGGGGAAGGGUGACUAACGCCACUACCUGGUAAACUAAGUAUGCUGGAACUUGUCCACUAAGGUUAUAGUCUAGCUAACUCAGCAUGGGUGCCCAUAUUUCUUAAUUAUGUUUCCGUUGGUUGAUAACAUACCCAUCGGCAUCCUAUCGUCAUGACUUAAUGAAUCCCAAUAUCUUCUAGACUAACGUUUACUUACAUGAGUAGGGUGUGUAUGCAUUUGUGGUUAACAGGUAUUUACUUUAAGGUCGGCUGGGCCGGCUUUCUCGAUGUGUCUAAUUAUGCUUAAGAAAAAGAACCACUAGUGGAAAACUCAGUUUUAGUCCCGGUUGCAGACACGCAUAGAUCUCAAAAAUCCAACCGGAACUAAUCAUUCAGACUGUAAUAAUAAAAUUUGUUUGAAAUCAAAUGCAUUGCAUUUAAAUUUUCAUGGGCAUUUAAACCUUUUUCAAAAUAAAUUAAUGAAUCAUAGGAGUUCGUUGUUGCAUUCACGAUGGUGCAUUAUUUUUGGUUGCUUGAAUUCAAAUUUGUGUUUGAAUUCAUUUGUUUGACUCUUUUAAACAAAUAGGAAACCCUUUUCUUUUCUUCCUUUCAGCCUAUUUCUUUCUUUGGGCCCACUUCCUUCUCUUUCGCCCAGCAGCAAAACUGAAUAUGCACUUUGAAGAUAAACAUGCGAACCAUCAAAGGGCAGCAGACAACUUAAAUACGCGACGGAGCAUUGUAAAUGGCAGAGUAGCCUUGCUGCCACGAUCCACUGAGAUCCAGCCCCACAUCGCACGAAUUCCUCCCUCCCCCCUCCACCCCCGACAACGGCUUCAGGCUCGGACCCGCUACGACGACCAAGGACAAAUGCGCUCAAGGCUUGGGAAGAAAUUAACUUCCAUUGUCGGAACACUUGUUAAGGAUUACAAGAGACCAUAUCGCAAGUUUAUCUUCUUAGGUAUGGUCCACAAUGGAAGAGAGACCUCCUAACUUGACCAAGCCGAUGUACACACUACCAUUUGGCACCAAUCAGGCCAAGUCAGAUAGGUGCCAGUGGAGUUCCAUAUUCCACUACGUCCGCCAUGUAACUCAUAAUCGACCACCAGGGAGGGACAUGUGUGGGAUGGAUCGAAGACAAGACAAUGGCCAACACACGCGUGGACAUACCGGCCACAGGGUACGAUUACGUGUUUGUUGGACCCAACACAUGAAAAUAGCUGCGUUGGCCAUGAAAAUGUUUCCUAUAGGUCACACCUAGUGGCAUCAAAACCAUUUAGUGCCACUAACUGGUUGUGAUGAUUGAUGUCACAAACGGUUCUUUGUGCGUAGCCAGUUUAUAGCUGUAAUUCCAUCGAACCUGUUCUAGUACCUUGAACAACUGGUUCUUGAUGAGUAGCCAGGAGUGACGUUCCAUUUGUAACUAUUUAUUCUCUAUUAGUCUAAUGUUGUCAUAAAUGAUUUGCGUUGUCAGUUUAUAUAUGCACUUUGGCAGCCUGGAUGUAUGUCUUUUGAAGUAUGUGUAACUUUCUCUAGAAUUGAGGAACUUUAAUUGACUAAGUGGUCUUGGAUUUACAGCAUCAACCACUAUAAUUAGCCAUUGCUCCAAUGGCCCAUUUUUUCCGUUAAUGCUAUAUGAUCCGACACCAAUAUGUGUACAGACAUAAGAGCAUCUGACGAGUAUCAUUUUACGGUGAAGACAUUGGAUCCCCACUCGCAGUAACACAUUGCAAAUGCGAAAAGCAGGACCGGGUCUCCCCCUGCAAUAAAUGCCAUUUUAACUGGUCCUAUAAACUGUUUUCUAGUGGUGUGAUGUAGUCUGUUGGAAUCAGCACCGUGGAACCAUCUGACAUUCAUACAUUAGCUUCACCAAACAAAUAUUCUUCUGUGCAUUAAAGCUUCAUACUUCAACAUGUACAAGUUCUCUAUGUAGGAUAUUUCAGCUAGAAGAUCUUCCCUUUCUUGAACUAGCCAUUUGAGCAUUAUUCAUUCUCAGGCCCAUGGUUCCAACGGCUUGCACGUUCUUGGAAUGUGUUAUCAUGGAAUGCUAGGGGUAUCGAUUCGUAGACAAGAUGGAAUGUCGUCAAGAGCAAAAUAUCUGAAUCCAACUGUGAUAUUGCCUGUUUACAAGACACCAAAAAGGAGUUUUUUGAUGCUAGAUAUAUUAGGAAUUUCUAUCCCCCACAGUUAGAUUCUUUCGAUUUCAUCCCAUCUAUUGGCAACUCAGGGGGAACUAUUAUAGUGUGGAAUGGUUCCAAAUUCAAGGGGGAACCUAUCUUUCAAAAUCUUUAUGCCCACUUUGUAGAUUUUCAGUGCAAGCUAUCAGGGGAACGUUGGAUCCUCACGAAUAUCUACGCCCCAUGUACUCCGGAGGGGAAGCUAUCCUUUAUUGACUGGUUCAAAAGGGUUGAAAUACCAGAGGAAAAAAAUUGGCUAAUAGUUGGGGACUUCAACCUUCUUAGGAAGCCGGAUGACAGAAACAAUCAGGGGGAAACAAUCCGGGAGGAAAUGUUCAGGAAAUGCUUCUCUUCAAUGAAGCUAUUAGCAGGCUUAGGCUCAUAGAAAUUCAGCUCAAAGGAUGCAAGUACACUUGGUCCAACAAACAGCAGAAUCCUCUUCUGGAGAGGCACGAUUGGUUCUUCAUAUCUAACCCUUGGACCAUCUCCUAUCCCAAUACUUAUGCCUCAUCACUGUCCAGUGACUCCUCAUAUCAUGUUCCUUGUGUAGUCUCGAUCUCUAAUACCAUUCCAAGGCCACAAGUUUUUAGAUUUGAGAAUUAUUGGCUAGAACAUGAUCGGUUCCCAACCAUUCUCCAACAAGGUUGGGCAACUCCACUUCUAGGCACAGAUAGGGCAAAGAAUAUCGGGGCCAAGUUCAAAAACCUGAGGAAGGUUUUCAGGAUCUAGAAAGCAUAGCUCCCCAGUCUGGCGAAAGCAAUCCAGAGCACCAAAGACACCAUUCAACUCCUUGACAUCAUUGAAGAACUUAGAGAUCUUACCCUGCAAGAACGGAACUUUAGAGAAGUCAUCACAUCACAUCUGAAUAGCUUGCUCCACCAACAAAAAGUCUAUUGGUAGCAAAGAAGCUCCAUCAAUUGGGUCAAAAUGGGGGAUGAAUGUACAAAAUUCUGCCAUGCAAGGGCCUCAGUCAGAAAUAGAAUCAAUUAUAUCACUUCUUUAGUUGAUGCCAAUGGACAAAUUGUCUCUAAACAUGAAGCUAAAGCCAGGAUUCUUUGGGAAGCUUAUAAGGAAAGGAUGGGGAGAUUUGAAUUUACUCACAUGUACUUUGAUCUUUCUACUAUCUUGACAUCAGAUCCAAAUUUGGAAUGGCUAGAAUCUCUCUUUAUGAAAGCAGAGAUCGACACAAUUACAGGGGAACUUCCAAGUAACAAGUCCCAAGGCCCAGAUGGCUUGAAUGGAGAGUUUCUCAAGAGAUGGUGGGACUUGAUAGCUGAAGAUUUUUAUAGACUGUCUGAAGGUUUUCAUGACAUAAGUGUGUGUGUUCAGAGCAUGAAUGCUUCAUACAUCACACGAAUCUCCCUCCUAAACUCAACCAUCAAGCUAAUAACUAAAAUUCUAGCAGAAAGGCUACAACAGGUAAUCUUAAGACUAGUGCAUAAAAAUCAGUAUGGUUUCAUAAAGUCUAGAUCCAUACAAGACUGUUUAGCAUGGGCUUUUGAAUAUCUUCACAUUUGUAAAGCCUCAAAGAGAGAAUUAAUCAUCAGCAAGCUGGACUUUGAAAAAAGCCUUUGAUAGGAUUGAGCACCAAGCCAUUUUGGAUAUCUUAAAACAUAAGUGCUUUGGGACAGAUGGAUUGGGUGGAUAAAGGACAUUCUCAACACUAGAACAUCUUCAAUACUCCUCAAUGGUGUGCCAGGGAAAGUCUUUCAUUGCAGAAGAGGUGUCAGACAGGGGGAUCCUCUAUCCGCACUUCUAUUUGUUCUAGCAGCGGACCUUUUUCAGUCAAUCCUAAAUAAAGCCAAAGAGGAAGGAAGCUUACACCUACCGAUCCCUGAAAGAGCUGGACCUGACUUCCCAGUUAUACAAUAUGCAGAUGACACCCUUCUGGUCAUGGAAGCAGAUCCUUCCCAGUUGUUGCAUCUCAAGCAUCUGCUUAAUCGGUUUGCGGAGUCAACUGGUCUUAAAGUAAACUACAACAAGACUGUUAUGGUACCUCUGAACACUUCUGAGGAUAAACUCCGACAACUUUCGUCAAUGUUCGAUUGCCAAGUCGGAAGCUUGCCACUCACCUACUUGGGGCUACCACUUGGUGCAACAAAGCCUAACAUUGAGGAAUUCCUUCCAUUAAUACAGAAGGUGGAGCGAAGAUUGGGAGGCAUCUCUAACAUGUUAUCUCAAGGGGGCAAACUCGAACAGGUAAAUUCAGUCUUUUCUUCCUCACCAAUGUUUCAUAUGGCAACCUUAAAGCUUCACAAGGGGGUUAUCACACAAUUAGAUAAUUUUGGCAGCUGUGUAUAUUUAGAUGCAUAUAAACAUUUAUAAACCUAAAACAUUAAAAUGACCUGCAAUUAAAAAUGGAGGGGUAAAAAAGAAGGCCCCGACAAACGUGUCAGCACAUUCCUGCCUUUCUCCCCCCAAUGAGUAAACUCCAAUCCAAAAUUUGACUGUAUUUUGUUAACGGUUAUAUUUCAUAAGUUUGAUAACAAUACCCAGCUAGGGCUAAUGAUGAUAUGAAAUUGGCCACAAUUUUUGUUCUUGGGAGGUAUCUGUGAGGUGAGAAAAUGGGCAACAUGUGUGGAAAAUGCUAAUACGCCUACCGUGUGGCAUAUUUUGCGUUGUACCACAUACUUACCAAUACUGAUACAAGAUAUGCUCAAUACCCCUCAAUCCAACUUACCAAUACUGAUACAAGAUAUGCUCAACUUGUGAACUUAACUGAGGUAUAUGCUUUCUAUGUUCGUCCGUUCCAGCAAUUGUCUAAGGCAACGCGAAAUCCAGUUACUGUGGGCUAAUAACAACCUAUCUGUUGGUGUUUCUUGGUGUCUAUGGGUGUGCUUCUGAUUUGCAUGCUUUUUUUGUUUGUUGUGUGAUGAAAUAAGGCACUAUGUACAUCUUUGCUUAUUAUUUCCCACUGAUAUAUGGGUACGGACGUGUAAUCAUUAAUUGUGAUAUUCAUUCAGCUGACGACAGUCAGUUGACAUCACUUGAAAGUAUGCUUGAAUUCGUAAGGUGUCCCGUGCAAGUAGCGUGGCUACAACCGCGGCAAUAUUUUUUUCUGAUCAAAAUCGAUCGUCCUUUUUUGUUGAAAAGAUAAGUAUGAUAUACUUCACGUGGUGUUAGACUUGCAAAUUUUUGAGUGCAAUAUAUGAGUAAGUAUUCAAUACUAACAUUUUUUCUCUAAACAUUAACUACCAACAUAGCUUAUCAGAUAAUGCAGCAUUGUUUAUCCGACAUGCAUAACCACCUAACACUCAGACACUGAGACACACCAUCCAUUACCGUCACUGAAUCUAUGUCAGCGCGCUGAGCCAGGGUUAGGAACCUCCACUAACUCGUUAGAGGCAAACCCAAGAUCUAGACUGCUUCUGCUUAAUUCCCUCACUAGCUUAAUCCACUAUGAAAUGUAAAUGCACAACACUCUUAGCAAUUCGCUCAUAAGAUUCUUGAAUUUGGCAAAUUUUUGGUGCAAUCUUCACUGCGAGAAAAACGACCUUUUGUCCAACAUAUUAGUACCGGCCACAUUUCAACCCGGUACUAAUACCAACAUUAGUAUGGGAUCCAAUUUAGUAGCCACCGGAGACCUUUUAGUACCAGGUCAUAACACCACCCAAUACUAAAAUGUUGAAGAUAGGUUGCCAACGAAAAGUUACUCUUACUGCUCUUUAGCUCUUGCUCUCUUGAAACUAUUAAUCUUCUAAUCUUUUGAACAACUAUCCUUCUAUUUGAAGCAAUCAUCGGCACAAACAUAUAAGCAAACAAAAAAAGUACAAUUAAGAACAAUACACCAAAACAAAAAAAAGCUUUAAAAGAGUAUAAAGGAUAUGGCUCAAUUCUAAGAUCGCGAGGAUGUAAGAAACACUUAAAACCAAACUAAGGUUGAAAAGACAAAGCUAUUGAGAGAUUUGAAUUAUAAAAGAAAAAGAAAAGCCUACAUGCUUCAUAUAUUUUAAUAAAGAAAACAAUGUAAAGAUAUUUUAGACAAACAUCCUUAUCAAGUUAUAUUUAUAUAUGAAAAGAUCAAUGUAGAACUUCGUCAAAUUUUUAUUUAUAAACAUUAAAGUACAAUUUAGGAAAAUUAAACAUUUAAUUUGAAAAUAAAGUAUAGGUAAACAUCUAAGCGCAUAACUUUAUGAUUCAGGUUGAACUAACCAAAUAUAAUUAAAAAAACACAUUUCUAUUUAUAUUUGUCAAAAUAAAAUUUAAUAAAUAAAACUUGAGAUAUAACCUAUGUAGCUUUUAUUUAUAAAACAAAAUCAAGACACAUUAAUCAAGUUGAGUUUAAUUGAUGAAAAGCUGAGGUAUAUCUCUAAUUAGCUUUUAGUUGGAAGAGUUGCUUAAAUAAGCAUUAACCAAAUUUACAUUAGUUAUCAAAAUACGAGGUUGAACUUUAAUUAGAUUUUAAUUAGAAAAGCAAGUAUAUAAAUACUUAAUCAUAUUAAUAUUUUAAAUAAAUUAUAAAAUAGGGAACAUGAUUAACAUUGCUUCUAACACAUUGUGUUAAGUUGAUAUGAAUCUAACGCAAUAAGAACGAGGUUAAACGGAGGUAAAACAUGGAAUCUAUGGAUUAAACAAGGUUCUAAGGAUCUAAAUAGAAUUAACUAUAGAUCUCAGGGGCUAGCAGAGAAGAUUCACAAGACAUGGAAAUGUGCUUCAAAAAGGCUGAAAGAUCAAGGUUAGAUUCAUAAAUGGAGCUUGGGUUGGACUAGGUUGUAGGAACCUCAUCUAACCAGGGGGUUCUAUGUAAGAGCCGCAAGACUCAAGGAACAAGCUAAACCAUUAAGUGGACCUUCGAGGGUCUAGAUGCAAAAAGCUCAGAGCUUUCUUCCUCAUGGCCGACGGUAGCUUGUACAGCCAAAUCACUGGCGCUACGGGCGGCUGGGGUCUCCGGCGGACGGCACAGGAGCUGGAGGAGGUCCAGGGGAUCUAGUGGAGGCUCUUACCGGUGGCGGAGGUGAAGGGGGCCGGCCGAAAUUCGGAGGCGACAAUGACCGCAGCGGUGGCUCGGGCUCCGCGUGGUGGCAACGCUCCGGUGAUGGAGGGGCGUCGAGGGCUGGCGUCAGUUCUUCGUCUUGGCGCAGGGACACUCCAGGUGGCAUCAGCAUGCUCCAGUUCGAACGUUAACCGCGACAAAACAGGCGGCCAACUCCUACGGCACUUCGGCUCUGGCGAUCGACGGCGCACGGCGCUGCGUGAGCAGGCAAGGUGAGGCGCAGGGCGAGGGAGGAAGAAGGGACGACGCGGAGCCUCAAGCUUGCUAUUUAUAGGGGCGUGGGAGGUGUGCCUUGGAGUGGCGCGCACGAUGAGGAAACGACGGCAGUGGCGCAGUCCGCUUGGUGGCUGGGCUUAGAAGGGCCAAGCUGGGCCAACUAGCGGCGGACAGGUCUCAGCGGGCUGACGCGAGUCAAGCCCACAGCCUCGGCCCAAACUGAUAGGAUAGGUUUUUUUAUUAUUUUUAGAAAAUAAUUUCCUGUGGAAGGAAAAUCCAGAUAAAUCAAGAUAAUUCAAUAAAACCUACAAAAAAUACUCUAAAAAUGCCCAAAAAUUUCAGAAAAAAUCCUAGUGGUAGAUUGGGACACGAGGAAUCCAAAUAAAAUACUUGGAGCCCAUGAAAAAGGAAUUAGAGCCUUCUACUAAAUAGAUUUAUUUCUAGGAAAAUGAGAAUAAAUACCAGAAAGAUCUAGAAAAUUCUGAGGAGAAUUUGGUCGUCGUCUAAAUGCAUUUUUGAAACUUUUUCACUCAUAAAAUACUAUAAUGCAUCGGCAGGAAUGCAAAACACGUAGAAACAUUUUAUUUCUUUCAAAAUCAAUCAAUUGUUUUCCUAUACUACAUUUCCUGUCAAAAAAAUAAAUGUUGAAAUUUUUUUAAAAUUAUGAGAAAAUCAUUGUUUAAUUAUUAUUUUUAUUUAAUCACAUCCUAAAAUCUAAAAAUUUCAGGGUGUGAAUAAUCCACCCCUAUAAAUCCAUUUUUAGAGGUGGAUGAAUUGCUACAGUAACACCUAUUUUUUGGUUGGGGGGAUUUCUCAUCCAGCCAAAAAAAAUCAAGUGACACCUAAAAAUCAUUUUUUAGUAGUGAUCGUACACGCGCUUCACUGCCAUGAACGCCGCCAUGCAUACCGAUCAACCAGCCGUCGGCGCCAUAGAUGGUGGCAUUCCGGUUCUUUCCCCAGUGUGGCAGGCCGCCGUACUUGCCCAUUGCCAUCUGCAUCUUGAUCUCGUCCACGACGUCCAAGUUUUGCACUGCACUAUGGACAAAAUAGUGCCCAUUAGGUUUUCCAUGUGAAUUGGCCCAAGGUACAUUCAACUUAUUUUGGCUGGCUUGGUCCCAUAGUUUGAACCCAGAUUUUGGAUCUUUCCGCAUUUAAAUUGGUGCUGCUGCUGCAUUUAUUUGAUAAUGGUUCAAGAUAUGGAACCAUACCACAAAGGUAACUCAUCAUUAAUUUAGAAGGGUGCACAGAUUCAUGUAAUAAAUAAUCUACACCACCUAAGAUGUGUCUCUACCUCUAUAUAAACAAGAGCAAUCAAAGCAAUAUGUGCAUACUGGAACAAAAUAUCUACAGGCAUACCAAUAGUGUUCCUUUUCAUACGGCAGUGAUCAAGAGCAACGCAGUGAGGUCUAUGUGUGCUGCACUUUGCAUUCUUUUGAUAAUGUCUUCAGCCCUCUCAGAGCUGGUGGAAGUUGUGUAUCUAACUGCUUUUCUACUUCCCAUGGUUUCAUUAUAUUCGUGGGGUUUACUAGGUGCGAUGUGGAUUUCAUGCACAUGAUCACGCUGAGUGUGACCCUAUGGACUGAUGCACUGAUCCGAAAUGCGAGGAUGAAUGUCAGAACAAAAAUAUUGACCUACCUAUUGAACCUGAGUGCACCACACCUAAGGAGUGUUGCUGCACAUUUUAUCGGGAGGAAGAUAAUUCACUUCUUUGAAUAGAUUAAAAUGGUUGCCGAUGGCUAGAUUAAUUUCAUGGAUGCAGCCGAUACCAGAAUACUACGCUUGCAUGUAAUGCAUCCAUAAUAUGUUUCUACCCAAAUCUAAUAAAAUAAAUGUGUCCCAUUUGUCCUCUUUUCCUCUAGUGUUUUUUUACUCCCAAAUUCCAUGCUAAUAAAUGCUGUAUACAUGAUUUUAUUUUAAAAGCAUUUCUGAAUACAUUUAAUUUGAUAAGUUCAAACACCGAGUGAGUCUUCUAUCUAUUGUAGGCUUAUGUUUAGUGAAGUGUGCCGGGCCUACUACUUCGGUGUUGGGCUGAGCCCACAUGAGAGCAGCUCCAGCGUUGCUCUUUUGAGGGUGCUCCAAGGAGAGAGAAAAAUAUUCUCCGGCAGCUUCACGCUGGAUCAGAGGGUGCUAGGGAGGUGCUAGGGAGCAGCUGAUGAUGAGUUUUGCACCAGGCGCUACGCAUUCAAUAUAUUUUCUGAAGUAACGUGGUUGGAUGGAUAGUUGAGAUAGUGGGAAACAAAUGCAGAUGCGCUAAUGACCAUCAAUCCGAGGACUCCGCCACCCAUGCACUUAGGUAAAAAAAUUCCUCAACCACUUUCACCAAGCACUGAGAUGCCACUGCAACCGAAACAUAUGCCGUAGACUUUUGGAGCAUAGCCCAUGUACGAAGCUAGUGGAUAACUGUAAAGAUAACCUGCAUUGGAUGAGAUAAGGGUUUGUUUUCAAAUACCAUAGCAUUCUUGCAGAGCAACAAUAACAACAUAGUAGCAAUCACCCCAAGUAAAUAAUGCCCGUCAACCAAGUGCCAAAAAUAUUUUCUAGGCUAAGGGGCUUGAGAAAGACUUCAGGUGCAAACAUAUCCGUAUUAUCCUCACUGAAUGGUCAUAAGUGUUUCCCUUCGGUUGCCGACACAAGACAUCCGACGGGGAAGGGUGACUAACGCCACUACCUGGUAAACUAAGUAUGCUGGAACUUGUCCACUAAGGUUAUAGUCUAGCUAACUCAGCAUGGGUGCCCAUAUUUCUUAAUUAUGUUUCCGUUGGUUGAUAACAUACCCAUCGGCAUCCUAUCGUCAUGACUUAAUGAAUCCCAAUAUCUUCUAGACUAACGUUUACUUACAUGAGUAGGGUGUGUAUGCAUUUGUGGUUAACAGGUAUUUACUUUAAGGUCGGCUGGGCCGGCUUUCUCGAUGUGUCUAAUUAUGCUUAAGAAAAAGAACCACUAGUGGAAAACUCAGUUUUAGUCCCGGUUGCAGACACGCAUAGAUCUCAAAAAUCCAACCGGAACUAAUCAUUCAGACUGUAAUAAUAAAAUUUGUUUGAAAUCAAAUGCAUUGCAUUUAAAUUUUCAUGGGCAUUUAAACCUUUUUCAAAAUAAAUUAAUGAAUCAUAGGAGUUCGUUGUUGCAUUCACGAUGGUGCAUUAUUUUUGGUUGCUUGAAUUCAAAUUUGUGUUUGAAUUCAUUUGUUUGACUCUUUUAAACAAAUAGGAAACCCUUUUCUUUUCUUCCUUUCAGCCUAUUUCUUUCUUUGGGCCCACUUCCUUCUCUUUCGCCCAGCAGCAAAACUGAAUAUGCACUUUGAAGAUAAACAUGCGAACCAUCAAAGGGCAGCAGACAACUUAAAUACGCGACGGAGCAUUGUAAAUGGCAGAGUAGCCUUGCUGCCACGAUCCACUGAGAUCCAGCCCCACAUCGCACGAAUUCCUCCCUCCCCCCUCCACCCCCGACAACGGCUUCAGGCUCGGACCCGCUACGACGACCAAGGACAAAUGCGCUCAAGGCUUGGGAAGAAAUUAACUUCCAUUGUCGGAACACUUGUUAAGGAUUACAAGAGACCAUAUCGCAAGUUUAUCUUCUUAGGUAUGGUCCACAAUGGAAGAGAGACCUCCUAACUUGACCAAGCCGAUGUACACACUACCAUUUGGCACCAAUCAGGCCAAGUCAGAUAGGUGCCAGUGGAGUUCCAUAUUCCACUACGUCCGCCAUGUAACUCAUAAUCGACCACCAGGGAGGGACAUGUGUGGGAUGGAUCGAAGACAAGACAAUGGCCAACACACGCGUGGACAUACCGGCCACAGGGUACGAUUACGUGUUUGUUGGACCCAACACAUGAAAAUAGCUGCGUUGGCCAUGAAAAUGUUUCCUAUAGGUCACACCUAGUGGCAUCAAAACCAUUUAGUGCCACUAACUGGUUGUGAUGAUUGAUGUCACAAACGGUUCUUUGUGCGUAGCCAGUUUAUAGCUGUAAUUCCAUCGAACCUGUUCUAGUACCUUGAACAACUGGUUCUUGAUGAGUAGCCAGGAGUGACGUUCCAUUUGUAACUAUUUAUUCUCUAUUAGUCUAAUGUUGUCAUAAAUGAUUUGCGUUGUCAGUUUAUAUAUGCACUUUGGCAGCCUGGAUGUAUGUCUUUUGAAGUAUGUGUAACUUUCUCUAGAAUUGAGGAACUUUAAUUGACUAAGUGGUCUUGGAUUUACAGCAUCAACCACUAUAAUUAGCCAUUGCUCCAAUGGCCCAUUUUUUCCGUUAAUGCUAUAUGAUCCGACACCAAUAUGUGUACAGACAUAAGAGCAUCUGACGAGUAUCAUUUUACGGUGAAGACAUUGGAUCCCCACUCGCAGUAACACAUUGCAAAUGCGAAAAGCAGGACCGGGUCUCCCCCUGCAAUAAAUGCCAUUUUAACUGGUCCUAUAAACUGUUUUCUAGUGGUGUGAUGUAGUCUGUUGGAAUCAGCACCGUGGAACCAUCUGACAUUCAUACAUUAGCUUCACCAAACAAAUAUUCUUCUGUGCAUUAAAGCUUCAUACUUCAACAUGUACAAGUUCUCUAUGUAGGAUAUUUCAGCUAGAAGAUCUUCCCUUUCUUGAACUAGCCAUUUGAGCAUUAUUCAUUCUCAGGCCCAUGGUUCCAACGGCUUGCACGUUCUUGGAAUGUGUUAUCAUGGAAUGCUAGGGGUAUCGAUUCGUAGACAAGAUGGAAUGUCGUCAAGAGCAAAAUAUCUGAAUCCAACUGUGAUAUUGCCUGUUUACAAGACACCAAAAAGAAGUUUUUUGAUGCUAGAUAUAUUAGGAAUUUCUAUCCCCCACAGUUAGAUUCUUUCGAUUUCAUCCCAUCUAUUGGCAACUCAGGGGGAACUAUUAUAGUGUGGAAUGGUUCCAAAUUCAAGGGGGAACCUAUCUUUCAAAAUCUUUAUGCCCACUUUGUAGAUUUUCAGUGCAAGCUAUCAGGGGAACGUUGGAUCCUCACGAAUAUCUACGCCCCAUGUACUCCGGAGGGGAAGCUAUCCUUUAUUGACUGGUUCAAAAGGGUUGAAAUACCAGAGGAAAAAAAUUGGCUAAUAGUUGGGGACUUCAACCUUCUUAGGAAGCCGGAUGACAGAAACAAUCAGGGGGAAACAAUCCGGGAGGAAAUGUUCAGGAAAUGCUUCUCUUCAAUGAAGCUAUUAGCAGGCUUAGGCUCAUAGAAAUUCAGCUCAAAGGAUGCAAGUACACUUGGUCCAACAAACAGCAGAAUCCUCUUCUGGAGAGGCACGAUUGGUUCUUCAUAUCUAACCCUUGGACCAUCUCCUAUCCCAAUACUUAUGCCUCAUCACUGUCCAGUGACUCCUCAUAUCAUGUUCCUUGUGUAGUCUCGAUCUCUAAUACCAUUCCAAGGCCACAAGUUUUUAGAUUUGAGAAUUAUUGGCUAGAACAUGAUCGGUUCCCAACCAUUCUCCAACAAGGUUGGGCAACUCCACUUCUAGGCACAGAUAGGGCAAAGAAUAUCGGGGCCAAGUUCAAAAACCUGAGGAAGGUUUUCAGGAUCUAGAAAGCAUAGCUCCCCAGUCUGGCGAAAGCAAUCCAGAGCACCAAAGACACCAUUCAACUCCUUGACAUCAUUGAAGAACUUAGAGAUCUUACCCUGCAAGAACGGAACUUUAGAGAAGUCAUCACAUCACAUCUGAAUAGCUUGCUCCACCAACAAAAAGUCUAUUGGUAGCAAAGAAGCUCCAUCAAUUGGGUCAAAAUGGGGGAUGAAUGUACAAAAUUCUGCCAUGCAAGGGCCUCAGUCAGAAAUAGAAUCAAUUAUAUCACUUCUUUAGUUGAUGCCAAUGGACAAAUUGUCUCUAAACAUGAAGCUAAAGCCAGGAUUCUUUGGGAAGCUUAUAAGGAAAGGAUGGGGAGAUUUGAAUUUACUCACAUGUACUUUGAUCUUUCUACUAUCUUGACAUCAGAUCCAAAUUUGGAAUGGCUAGAAUCUCUCUUUAUGAAAGCAGAGAUCGACACAAUUACAGGGGAACUUCCAAGUAACAAGUCCCAAGGCCCAGAUGGCUUGAAUGGAGAGUUUCUCAAGAGAUGGUGGGACUUGAUAGCUGAAGAUUUUUAUAGACUGUCUGAAGGUUUUCAUGACAUAAGUGUGUGUGUUCAGAGCAUGAAUGCUUCAUACAUCACACGAAUCUCCCUCCUAAACUCAACCAUCAAGCUAAUAACUAAAAUUCUAGCAGAAAGGCUACAACAGGUAAUCUUAAGACUAGUGCAUAAAAAUCAGUAUGGUUUCAUAAAGUCUAGAUCCAUACAAGACUGUUUAGCAUGGGCUUUUGAAUAUCUUCACAUUUGUAAAGCCUCAAAGAGAGAAUUAAUCAUCAGCAAGCUGGACUUUGAAAAAAGCCUUUGAUAGGAUUGAGCACCAAGCCAUUUUGGAUAUCUUAAAACAUAAGUGCUUUGGGACAGAUGGAUUGGGUGGAUAAAGGACAUUCUCAACACUAGAACAUCUUCAAUACUCCUCAAUGGUGUGCCAGGGAAAGUCUUUCAUUGCAGAAGAGGUGUCAGACAGGGGGAUCCUCUAUCCGCACUUCUAUUUGUUCUAGCAGCGGACCUUUUUCAGUCAAUCCUAAAUAAAGCCAAAGAGGAAGGAAGCUUACACCUACCGAUCCCUGAAAGAGCUGGACCUGACUUCCCAGUUAUACAAUAUGCAGAUGACACCCUUCUGGUCAUGGAAGCAGAUCCUUCCCAGUUGUUGCAUCUCAAGCAUCUGCUUAAUCGGUUUGCGGAGUCAACUGGUCUUAAAGUAAACUACAACAAGACUGUUAUGGUACCUCUGAACACUUCUGAGGAUAAACUCCGACAACUUUCGUCAAUGUUCGAUUGCCAAGUCGGAAGCUUGCCACUCACCUACUUGGGGCUACCACUUGGUGCAACAAAGCCUAACAUUGAGGAAUUCCUUCCAUUAAUACAGAAGGUGGAGCGAAGAUUGGGAGGCAUCUCUAACAUGUUAUCUCAAGGGGGCAAACUCGAACAGGUAAAUUCAGUCUUUUCUUCCUCACCAAUGUUUCAUAUGGCAACCUUAAAGCUUCACAAGGGGGUUAUCACACAAUUAGAUAAAUAUAGGAAACACUAUCUCUGCAGAGGAUCUAAUUUGAAUUCUAGGAAACCCUCCAAGGCAGCUUGGCCUAUGGUGUGCCUACCAAAACAGCAAGGAGGACUUGGGGUUAUUAACCUGAACAGUCAAAAUGAUGCCCUUCUUCUCAAGUUCCUACACAAGUUCUUCACCAGAGCUGAUACUCCCUGGGUUCAUUUAUUCUAGGAUAACUAUUAUUCUAAUGGGAAACUGCCUGGACAGCACAAAAAGGGCUCAUUCUGGUGGAGAGAUGUAGUCAAGCUACUGGACAAAUACAAAGGAAUAGUGUCGGCAUGGGUAUCGGAUGGCUCUACUGUAUUGUUCUGCAUGGACACAUGGAUUGAGCAGGUCCUCUACCUGGAAUUCCCCCAGUUAUUCUCUUAUGCCAAAAACAAACUGGUAUCAUAUAAGGAGGCUACAAGCAGAAUAUCACUGUCUCAAAAUUUUCACCCACCACUCUCAGAAGAAGCUCAUCAGCAGUUGCUGAUUCUGCAGAAUAGAUUGAGGAAUACUGUGAGAGCUCAAGGCAGAGAUAAGUGGACUUACAUUUGGGGAAGGCCCCCGCUUUUCGGUAGCAAAAACUUAUAAAGUCAUAACGGGCACAAGAACCAUACAUCCAAUUCAUAGAUGGAUAUGGAAAUCUAAAUGCCAAAAGAAGCACAAGAUAUUUUUCUAGCUAUUAAUUAAAUUCAGACUGAGCACCAAAGACAUUCUAAGCAGAAAAACAAUGUAUUUGGAUACUUAUACUUGUGUGCUUUGCAUCCUCCAGGAAAAGGAGACAAUGCCGCACUUAUUCCUGAGAUGCAACUUCUCGAAAGCUUGUUGGAGCACUUCCUCCAGGCCACCCUUUCGGAUUUUUAACUCAAUCAAGGAUAAACUGAACGUUCCCUUCUACAUGGAGAUCAUCAUUUUAAUGGCCCGGAGCAUUUGGUCCGUGAGGAAUGACUGGACCUUUCAACAAUGUCCCCCCUCGGUACAGAGCUGCAAAAGGAAAUUCAUGGAAAAAAUGAAUACCGUCUGUCUACAUAGAGCGAAAUCUUCCCUAGCUCCUACCAUGAUGGAAUGGUUGUAAUCUUUUCUUUCUUUUUUCUUCCUUUGUUGUUGCCUUUUCUACCUUCUACUUCUGUUGUUUCUUGGACUCGCCUUUCAUUUAAUAUAUUUCAGUAGGAGCUUGCCCCUCCUGUUCCUUCAAAAAAAAACUUCGAGCACUUCUCCAUGGGCUUCAUCACCAUAGUUUCGAUUUGGGCAAUUUCAUUGCACCGAACCUUCCAGCUUGCAUUUUCUUAACUGAAUCUCGAGCAUGGGGCAAUAUUCUGGCAUCUACAACGGACCUGCCAUCAAGCAUUCCAAUGUAUAGAUCUAUCCUUUUUGUUUGCCUAAUAUUCGGAUGCAAUACUCCGCCGUGUGUAAAAAAAUCCAAGGCCAACGGACCAUACCGUGUUAACAAUUUUAGUGCCUAAUCCAAUACAAAAUUAGUCCCAGUUUGUACGGCUACUCAUUCAUUGCAGUCUUCAGACGAACUCUACGGUGACACAUUUUUGGAAUACUCUGGCAUGUGCAACUGACCUGCCAUCAAGCACUCCGAUGCAUGGUUCUAUCCUCUUUGGUUGCCUUAUAUUCUGUAAAAAAAAAUAUUCAAGGCCAACAGACCAUACCGUGUUAAAAAUUUUAGUGCCCAAUCCAAUACAAAAUCAGUUCCAGCACCUCCACAGUGAUUAUAUUGUAAUUCAAUCACCAAAAUCCGAAACUAUGGUCUAGUGAAGCUAUACUGUGUACGAAAUAUCAAUUCAUGGGAUUUGUCAACGAUUUUAUGAAGCUGUAUAUAUGAUACCUUCCACUACGGGAUUUGUGUACAAAAUAUUAAUUCAUGAGAUUUGUCCAUGAUUUUAGGAAGCUACAAUAUCUUCAACUACCGGAUUGCGUAUAUAAGAUAAUCUUCACCAGUUAUCACAGGUGGAAGCACGCGUUAAAUAAUAAAUGACUAAUGCUGAUUCAACUCUGAGAUGAAAAGGAUUCUGUUCUCAAGAAUCGAAAAAAAGGUAACGUGCUCAUAACAAUGUCGACUCUUCACAUCUGAGAACUACCUACCGUAUGUUAUUAAAACAUUUUUGCUGCCUAUAAAUUGGGCAUCAUUUCAGCAGGCCACCACGGCACCUGAGCUUGCCAUCUUUUCCUGCUCUAUCUCACUCAUUUGUCCCGUAGCUACUAGCUAAGCCACCAUAUCAUCCAUGGCUUCUGGUGCCUCCACCACGCUGAAGAUGGCCUCUAUCGCCGCUUGCAUCCUGCUGGUCCUGCUGUCCAAUGGCCACCCCACCGCGGCGGCCGUUGAUUGUAUUGCGGCUUGCAAAGAACCGUGCCAGGGUUUUUCUAACGGGCUCUGCGCGGGUGGAGCCACCAGCGGUUGUACGACUACGGCAGCAGCUACAGCAUGCCGCAAUUUGGCGUUCUCGCAGUGUGCGAACACCUGCUUCACAGUUUGCACUGCUGUGAGCAUCGCGCCUUGCACUUGAAGAUGCAUUCGUGUUCCUACUUCCACAUUAUUGUUACUGCAGAAUAAUAUGGGUCAGUGCACACAAGCAUACAUGAUGAGCCACUGUCGUUUUUCCAUUUUGUCAUUUACUUAUUGAAGGCAAUGUACGUUUUUCCAUUUGAUCAUUUACUUAUUGAAGGCAAUGUACGUGUCUAUCUCCUGUGUGGUUGAGCAUGUCAUCUUGGAAUUCUAUCCAAAGUUUUACAUACCACCUUGUAUUGUUGUGUGUGGGUAUCAAUAUAAUUUAUGAACUAUCUUCCUUUACCAUAGACAUAUCUAUGUUUAUUUGCAAGCGUUAGCUAAAUUUUUCCUUGAUUGUGUAUUAAUCCCAACUGAACAGAUCAACUUUCCACUGCAAGAAACUAUUUAAUCUGUGACGAAACAAAAUUGUCACAUAUCACUAAAAAAUCGUCAUAAAGCAAUGCCCGUGACGAUUUUAGAUAACGUCAUGUAUUGAGCGUCACAGAUUAAAUCGAUCGACGUUUUCUUCGAAAUCGUCACAGAUCAACACAAUCUAUGAUGUUUUUUACCUGUCACAAA